rnacentral:lncRNA from 1 species
UCAUCAUGGAUCCUCAAACCAACAAUCGCUUCUGGAAAACAAUGGGUUCUGUUAUCUCCACUAAAAUCAAUUGGUGGGUAAUCUGAUAACUGCGAAAUCACGUCUCCAUACUUAGUAAUCCACCAAUCAUGGUACUCAAGAAUAACAAACACAACCCUCUUGUUCAGAUGCUGGGAAGUUAUAUACAAAGGAAGAAUCCCAUCAUUGAAUUCAUGGUAUAUGUUACCUGUAUAGCCUCCGGUGGAGAAGAACACAGCUGGAACAUCAUGGUGGACAUCACAGUGAUGGUGAGUGCCGUAACCCUCUUUUUUCGAGAUAAGGUGUAAUUCAUCAAUGGUGUCCAUGACACUGGCUUCCCAUUUUCGGGUAUAAGGUUUGAUCUUUUCGUGUUGGAGUUGCUCUUCUUCAAACUCCUUGCCUUCUCCAGAUAUGCUUGAAACAUGAUCAGUAAAGGCGUUGGGGUUUCUUGAACCAUACAGGAAGAUUGAUGAUGAAGAAGAGUGCGUUCUUACAUCCCCUUUCAUGAAACAUGUAUCUGUACGAAAGGCGCUUCUAUCACAGCAAAUAGUUCCUGCAUUUACACAAAAAAAAAAACCCUUAAAAUCUACAAAAUUUCAAAAAUCAAAUGGAACCCCAUUUUCCAACUGCUUAUAUCAUCUAAUAAAAAAUUCAUUCCACGAAGAAUGCACUGUUUGGAUGCAGAGGAUACAGAGGAAUUUGAGCUGAUUAUUCAUCUUUGGCGAAAAAAUCAAUAUGAAGCAAAAAAAUAGAAAAUCUUCGUCUUUCCCCUCUUUUCAUGAACAAAACUGAGGGGAAAAGGCAAUCAACAGUCAAACGACAAUCUCUUUCCGUGGGUCCAGCUAUUACGUUGAAGGAAAAAAAAGUUCAAAUAAACCACCCAAGAAAGCAAAAUAAGAGACUAACCAUUUGCGAUUGAAGAACAAAGGGUUUUCGCAUCCAUUUCAGCAACAGGGCCAUCAUAUUCUCCAAAUGAAUCUGCAAAACCCAGAACAUAAACCUCGAGAUAAGACAAAAAAAGCAAACAAAAAACAGAGAAAACAGCGGAAACCCGUGAAAAAAAAAAAAAAAAAAGAAAGAAAGAAAGGCUCACAUAUGGGAAAGCUGAAAAGGCAAGGGGCCAGGACAAAGCAGCAAGAGAGCAGAGACAGAAAAAGUAAGGCAAGAAGCUUGGGCCUUGUUCUCUUGUAAUAACCAGCGCUUCCACACUCAUCAACAAGGCUCUGUGCCUCUUCAUCAUCUUCGCCUUUCCUCAACUGAUGAUACCGCUGAUGGUGCACCAUUUCUCCUGUUGAAACACAGAAAAAAGCAAAGCUUUUGUUGUGGGUUAUGGAGUCUGAACCCAACACAGACAAAGAAACAGAGAAAAAGAGAGAGAUUUAUAUACAGAAAGGGAGAGCUGGUGAUGGGUGGUUCUGGGUUCGUUCCUGUUGGUAUGAACUAUGAAGCAUAAACUUGAAAUGGGUGUACAGAGGGAGAGAGCUGGAAAGAGAAGGUGUCAACGAAAGAAGGCUGGUUCAGGGGAGGGGGCUUUCAAGGUGAUAUUCCUGAUUCCAGUCAAAUACGUGUGCUGGUGCCCAAGCCCAUCAAAAUACACUUGGCCGUUUUAGUGGUUUUCCUUAUUGGCUACGGACCCUUGUAUUUUCAUCUCACGCGCCCCAUUACUGCCUUAAAUCCCUUCUUGGAAAGUCUUCAUUAUUGGAUGUUUUUUCAAAUAAGACUUUAAUAUGAUAAAAUAAAAUGAGGCUAAAUAAUUUUUAUGAAGAUAAUUGUGAAAGGUCCGAUGCUUAUGAGUUGUCAUACUGGGGUAAUAAUAUUUUCAAAAAUUAGUUUUUUAAAAUGAUUUUUAAAACCGUUUCUUAAAUAUUUUAAAAUUUUUGAAAAUUUAAAUAUAGAAAAUAAUUUUAUAAACUUAUUCAAGAUGAUACUAUGCACAUGUAUGAUAUAAAUUUUUUCUAUUAGUAUAUAGAUUUUUAAUGAUAUACCUAACGCGCUAAGUAGUUGCAAUAAUUAUAUGUAAAAAUACGGGGCGUAUAAAGAGACCUCACGCUUCCUUGGGGCGCGUGGAGAUGAAUGACGGCGACUGUGCUUUGAAUGAGCCAAUCUUCCGCAGCAAACAUCCUCCAAACGCUGGUGGGUUUUAAUUUUAAUAUUCAUGGUGGGAAGCUACAAUCUCAAUGCCAUUAAAUAUUGAAAAAAAAAUCUAAAUUGGACCGCAAAAGCAGAAUUUAGUUAUCCUGUAAGCAACAUUAAGGCAUCUUUAUAAGUUGUACAAGCAUAAAAAAGUUUAUAUUUUUAAUAAAUGAUUUGAAAAUUCUUAAAUUUUUCGAUAAUUAUUUAAUUUUUUAAGGUAUUUUAUGUAUUGAAAAAUGUCCAAAGGUAUUUUUUUAUAUUUAAAAAUAUAUAUAAUUUGAAUAAUAGAUUCUAGACAAACUCUUAUAUUGCUGUUUUUUUAGAAAUAAUUUCAAAAUUUUAUUUUUUUUUCAAUGUCUCUUAUGGGUUGAAAAUUUCAUAAAAGGAAAAGGAAGUAAAAGACCUAUUGAUACAUUGGAAACAUAAAUUUCUUGGAGUAAAGCUUUUAAGUUUGAAAAUUUAUUAAAGGUGGUAAAUAAAUAUUGGUGGUUGGGUAAUAGGGAAGAGCCGAAGAGAGCAUCAAGAUUCAAAAAGCGCAAACAACUAACCGCUAAUUGAGGCAGAGGCAUUUAGGAAUCAAGUCUGCGUUGGCGGCAAAAAUGGAUACAAAGAUCAGGAUAUUUGCAUUUGUGCCCCUUACAUUUUGAUAGUUUUUCUGUUUGUUCCAUUUUAUUUUCAUAAUUUAUUCAAAGAAGAUGCCAUUUUACCUUCUUUUUUUUCUUUUAAUAUUUAAUAUUAUGAAAAACAGAAGAAUGUGGCCAUAUAAAAAACAAAAAGUUGUUCUUUUAACACAAACUUAAAUAUAAAAAAUAAUUUCAAAAUCCUCAACUUUUUUUUUUUUUUGGUAAUGAAUGGGAUGAUAUGGAAUUGUGGGGAAGAGGUGUGGGUUGAGUGAAAGCAAGGUGCAAUUAGUUGACAAUUGGACCGUUGGAUAAAGGGUCCUUAUUUUGGCUUGUCCAGUCCAGCUGACUUCUGCUGGACUACAGCAGGUCUGUCACGUGAGCGGUGAGCCGAAUAGGCUAAUACCAGUAUACAUCCUGGUAAAAAGAAUUUAUAUAUAUAUAUAUUUAUAAAUAAAAAACCUUGGUAUGGUAUUUUAUGAUAAUAAGUGAAUAAAACUCCUUUUCAUAAUUAAGUUUAAAUGGAAUUUUGUUCCCAAAGAUAACAUAGAACUAACCAUUAUCAAAUAAGUUUUAAUAUUUUCAUUGUUUAACCACUAAAGAUUUUUGGGAAGGUUUUUGACAAUUUUAAGGGUUACUUAUAAAAUUUUGACAAGAAAAAAAAACAAUUAAAACUUAUAAUAUAUUAUAGAUCCCAAAAUUUGUCCCAAUUUUUUUUGUUAUUUUAUUUAUUAUUUAUUUAUUUUUACUUUUGUUUAUUUUACUUAUUUUAGGACUUUUUGGUUAAUAUUUAUUAAGCCUUUUCAGUUUUAUUGGAGAAUUAAUCGUGGUCCUUCCUUUUUCCAUCAAUUCCCAAUCACCCAUUUCAAACAAAACCCUAAUCCUCUCUUUUCUCUCUCCAUCUCAACCAUAGCCCACUCACCCACGUUUUCCCCAAUCUUCUCUUCUUCCACUUUCUUUCUUUUUGUCCAUAUUUUCUUUUUCCUUUAUUUCCUUUUCUUUCUUCUUCAUCUCGUCACGUGGCCGUCUCUCACCAUCGAUGACGCUACUACCGGUGACCCACUGCCAGCAACCCAUUAUCAGCGACACCACUACCGACGACGCUACUAUCGGCCGACAGCCAUCUCCAACACCGAUAGUCCUCUCCAUCACAUCCUCUCUCUUCUUUCCUACCCAACAUCACUCACCAUCUCUGUCAUCCUAAACCUCCCAAUCAUUGCCCUAACAGUCAUGGUUGUGCUGCUCGGUCGCCUUAGAAAAUUAUACGACAACAACCUUCCCUACCCCACAUCUACACCAAAGUCAAGUUGAACCCUUCUCGGGUUUAUUCACCUUCUUCCCUACCCAACAUCACUCACCAUCUCUGUCAUCCUAAACCUCCCAAUUGUUGCCCUAACAGUCAUGGUUGUGCUGCUCGGUCGCCUUAGAAAAUUAUACGACAACAACCUUCCCCACCCCACAUCUGCACCAAAGUCAAGUUGAACCCUUCUCGGGUUUAUUCACCUUCUUCCCUACCCAACAUCAUUCACCAUCUCUGUCAUCCUAAACCUCCUAAUUGUUGCCCUAACAGUCAUGGUUGUGCUGCUCGGUCGCCUUAGAAAAUUAUACGACAACAACCUUCCCCACCCCGCAUCUACACCAAAGUCAAGUUGAACCCUUCUCGGGUUUAUUCACCUUCUUCCCUACCCAACAUCACUCACCAUCUCUGUCAUCCUAAACCUCCCAAUUGUUGCCCUAACAGUCAUGGUUGUGCUGCUCGGUCGCCUUAGAAAAUUAUACGACAACAACCUUCCCCACCCCCACAUCUACACCAAAGUCAAGUUGAACCAUUCUCGGGUUUAUUCACCUUCUUCCCUACCCAACAUCACUCACCAUCUCUGUCAUCCUAAACCUCCCCAAUCGUUGCCCUAACAGUCAUGGUUGUGCUGCUCAGUCGCCUUAGAAAAUUAUACGACAACAACCUUCCCGUUCCCACAUCUACACCAAAGUUAAGUUGAACCCUUCUCGGGUUGAUUCGCCUAGAAAUGUGAGUUUUCUCUUCAUUGAUUCGUACAGUAACGAUUUGGAUUUGGAUUUGGGUUAUUGGAUUUCCCAUAUGGCCUUUGAUUUAUUCAUUUAGACUUAUUUUGGGUUGAUUUCUAUUUUCUAUUUAUUGGUGUUGCGCCUUGGCUUGUUGGAUUGCUAUUUGGUUUGAGUUGGGUCAUUAUAUUAGUUGGAUUUGGGCUGGUAUAUUUAUUAAAUCUUGUAUUAGGUCUUUCUUUUUGUUGUUGCUGAGAACGGGAAAAGAGGUGUGGUGUUGAUUGGGAGGAGGAGGACGACUCUUGAGACUUUUUGUAAUCUUCUUUGCGUUUCCUAUGAUAUUUGUGAGAGGGUUGAGGGUUUUUUUUUUAUAGUAUUUUUUAGCUUCAUUUUGAAAGUUUUUGGAGGGUCAUUACUUUUAUUGGACUGCACUUUUAAGGUUACUCCUACGUCCUUGUCCUUCAAGUUUUAUUGUAUACAUUCAUUUCAUUUCAGUUUUCUUCUUAUGUACAUGUGAAUGUAUCAUUCGUGUUUAGAUUUUUUAUUGUAUAUGUAUAUUUAAUUUGUGAUUCAUGGAUUAAUUUUUGUUUCCAUUUAUUUGUUAUCCUUAUUUAAUAUGCUCUAUUAGCUUUUGUUUUGAGUUAUUUGUGUUUUAUUUUUCUGUUAAGGGAAUAAUCCAAUAAUGGGAUAAUGUUUUUGUUUGAAAAAUAUUUUUUUUUCUUCUUACCUUUAAUGAAUGAAAAUUCUUUUUAGAAUAAAUAUUUAGUCCUUUUUAAUAAACGUUUUAAAAGAUUUUUUUGUAUUAAUAAGUAUAAAAACCAUUUUCAGAAACCUUUUUUUUUAAAAAAAAAUAUAUUAAAUUAAAAUAAAACUCUGAAAAUUUUGAAAAACGGUUUUUCUUUUAUAUAUAUAUAUAAGAAAAAAAAGAAACAUUUUUUAGAAUAAAAUAAAAAGGAAAAGAAUAUAGAUUUUUAUUUAAUAAAAUUGAAUUUUCCUUUUAAAUAUAUUGAGAUUUAAAAAAAAUAUAUUUUUUAAAUAAAUCUUUUAUAUAUAUAUAUAUAUAUAUAUAUAUAUAUUAUUUUAAUAAAUUUGAACUUUUUUUUCUCUCUUUUUAUUUUUUUGUAUAAUUAAUUUAAAAUAAUUUUUUAGAAUAAAAUGCAGAUAACUUUUUUAAAAAAUAAAAAUAAAUAAAUUGUAAAGCUUUUCUAAAUAAAUUUGAGAGAUUUUUUAAUUAUUUUCUAAUUCAAGUAGAGAUUCGUUUUUGUCAAUAAUUUUUUUUUUUGUAAAUAUUUAAAAAAAACUAUUAAAAUUUGUUUUGAAUGGAAUUAUUUUGUAGAUAAAAUUGUGAAAAAGGUCUUUAUUUUGAAAUAAAAGAUAAAUUAGAUUUUAUUUUUAGAUAAACUUAUAAAAAUAUAUAUAUUUAUUUUUCUUUUCUUAAUAAAAGUUAAACAAAUUCCCUUAUCUAAACUAAAAUUUUGAAAAAUCAUAUCUUUUAAAUCAAAUUUGUAAAAGACUUUUAUUAUUAUUAUUACUAUUCAUAAAUAAAAUUGUAAAUGGAUUUUUUUUAAAUAAAAUUGAAUUAACAUUUUUUUUAUAGUAAAAAUCAAGUAAAAUUCUUUCCUUUCAAAUAAAACAGUGAAAAUGAAAAAUUAUUUUUUUAAACAAAAUAUAAAAUUUUAAAGUUCAUUUUUUUUUAAAUCAACAAUCAAAUUGUAUUAUUCCCAAUGUUUUCAAAACUGGACCGAUCAUUAAACCGAAAAAGUUACCGGUUCGCGGUUCAUUAGUUUGAUCAACAGUCAAACUGGUGACGUCAUAAAUAUAUAAAUUAUAAAUUAUUAAAAUUUAAAAUAAUUAUAAAAUAAAAUAAUAAUUUAUAUAUUAUUUAAAAAUUAAAAUUUUAUUUAAAAAAUCAUUAAAUUAUUCUCAUAAUAGUCAUGGUUCUUCUUUAAUCAUGGAAGAAAAACUCACAUGCCUAUUUAAAAAGAAAAAAAAAAUGGCAAAAACAUUGAAUGUGAGUUUUAAAAUUUUUAAUUAUUUAUUUGUUAAAAAAAAUAAUAUUUAGAAAUUCUUAAAUUUAUUAUAAUAAACUAUAAUUUUAUUUUUAUUUAAUUUUUAAUAAAUGCUCAUUGCCAAAUGGGUCAUAGGGUAAAAAAGGAAAGAGCAAAUCCUCUCCACUCUCCACUCUCCACUGCUCUCUUGUCUUCUUCGUCCUCCCUAUUUCUUCUUCCUUCUUUUUCCACGACUUCUCAUUUCUCUCCCAAACCCAGUUCUCUCUCAGUGCCACCACACUCCUAUUAUCUUCUCUUUCGGCGAUUCCAACUUUGACACUAGCGGACUCAUCGACGGGCUUGGCUUUCUAAUCAACUUCCCCAAUGGUCGUACCUUCUUUCGCAAAUCAACUGGUCGUCUCUCCGACGGACGCCUCAUCAUCAAUCUUCUUUGUAAGUUACCGCACCCAACCACUCCUCUGGAUUCUCAUUUCUUCUUCCAAUGCGGGGGGUGGGAGGGUGGCAUUCCAAGAAGGGUGGGGUCCUGCCGAUGGGAGACGAUGAGGAGGGGAGGGCUUUUCCAAUAGUAGGGGAUGGCAACAGUGGAAAAAAAAAAAGUUGAACCGGACGGUUGGGGGAAACCGUUUGGUUUAUCCGGCAUGCCGGUCGGACCACCGAUUUAACCGGUCUAAUUUCGGUCUGAACACUAUCCAGCCUAAAUGAUCGGAUCCGAUCCAGUCCAGUUUUUAAAACCAUAUUAUUCAUAUGAAUAAAACUUGAAAAAAAAUAUUUUUUAAAUAAAAUUAGAUAAAAUUUCUUUGUAGUUAUUUUUAUUUUUAUUUAUUUAUUUACUUUUAGUCUUAAUAAAAUUGAAUAAACCCUUUUUUCAAUAAUUUCAUUUUUAUUAAUAAAAUCAAACAAUAAAUAAUUUAUGGUAGAUAAAAAAAAAAGAUUGAAACAUUUUUGUAAUUGAUUUUGGAAAAAUUUGUGUUUCUAUUCAUUUUUUUUCUUUUUAUAUAUAUUAUUUUUAAUAAAUUCUUUUGAUACAAUAAGUGUAAAUAUAUAUUUUUUAAAUUUUGAAUUAAAUCACUUAAAUAAAAUAUUUUGUAAAUAAAUAAAUUGAAAUCACUCAUUCAAAAUCAUUUUUAAUAAAAUCAUUUGAAAUUUCUUGAAAACUAUUUUUUUUUUCAAUAAGUCAUUUUGCAUAAUUCUCUUAUUAUUUAUUUUGUGUAUUAUUGUAAUUAGAUUUUAUCAUUAUUUUUAUGUAUAUUAUUUUUUUUUUGUAUCCAUAAUUAAUUAAUUAAUUAAUUGUCACAAUUCCUUUAAUUCAUUUAAUAGAGGCCGUGCAUAUAUGGGUUUAGAGAGGUGCUCAACUCACCACCAUAUUUUCCCAAUAAGUAACUUGACCCCUGAAUCAGACUUGAUUUUUUCACAGACCCCUUUUUCAUUCAGGAGUCACACUUAGAAUUUUUAUUUCUUAUUUUGUUUUUCCCUUUAAAAAUAAAACAAAAAAUAAGUGUCAACUACAAGUAUUUUUAUAAAAAUCAAAAUUUUACCAAAUAAAUGAAAAGCGAAUCACUCUAUCGAGUGGAAAUGCAUCAAGCGAAACGCGAGGUCCAUAUAUAUGUUCUAAAAAUAAUUUAUUUUUAUAACAAAUUCUCAAAAAAUUAUUUUUUGUUAAAAUUUUAUCAAGUUAUUUUUAUUAUAAAAAAACUAUUUGUCAAACUAUUGUUUGUUAUAAAAAAUAAAAAACCAUUUUCAUUAACAUGAUUAAAAUUUGUUAUGAUGAGCUACAAUGAGAAAUAGCCGGAAAGAUUUGAGUUUCCAAUAAAAAUAAUUUAUUUGAAAAAAAAAAUUAGCGAUAAAUAUUCUUCCAAAAUCAUUUUUAAAUUAGCACUUUUGUACACAUCAUAAAAUUUAAGAAUAUGAUCAACGAUUAUUACAAUAUCGGGUAACCCCGUCAUAUAUUUAAUCCCACCCAAAUAUGUUUGCAAGUGAGAUAAUUGUCUCUUUAACAUAGCUGCAUCUCUUUUCGGAAGACGAUUGAGUCUCCCCGUCUUUUGUUCCAUUCUCAAGUCCCUGAAUUUAUGAAGUCUCGUUUCUGUAGUGGACCAAUUCGUUGACAUACCACCGAGCCAUUUUUUAUUAACAUAAUGACACCGAGCCUUUAUUGCAGCCCAUGCUACUGAAUCCGCUGCUUUAUUUUUGGUACCAACAAUUAAGAAUUGUUUUCCCCUACUUGCUGCAUCAAAAACUAAAUCACAAGCUUCUGAUAAAAAGCGAGCAGUUCUAGUAAGAUUUGUAAUAUGGAUUUUAUAUUUAAAAAAAUUGUGAAGGUGGUUGAGAUGUACUAAUCUAAAAAUGAUUUUUGUAGAAUAUCUAUUUUGUGGAAUUUUUUUUUCUCAAACAUGUAAUUUUUGCUUGUAACUUGAGAGAUUUCAUAUGGGAUGAUGAUUUCUUUGAGAUUGAAUUUUAUGGAAAGAGUUUACAAAUGUUGUCAAAAUUGAAGAGACAUGCUUGUUUCUUCUUUUGAGAUGGGCUUGCACGCUGGUCAAGAUCUCUUCGAAAAAAUUGCCAAUAAUUUCGGCGACGUUUUAUGGUAAAAGGAGCCCAUGCUUGGAUUUGGGGAUCUCUUCUAUGGCCAUUUGCAUGAUGAGACGUGUUCAUCCAACGCUCCUAAGUCAUGUCUCUGCUUUUUAUAUUCUACCAUCACCAAAGUUAGAGUCUCAGUACCUUUCACACUACAUUAUUUCGAUUAAUAAGUUAAUGCUAUGUGUUGAUGAGAGAGAAAAUAUGAGAAAAAAGAUAAAAUAUAAAAAAUAUAUUUAAAUUUAAUAAAUUAUAUAUUCACAAUUAUUUCAAAUUUAUUUCACUUAUUUAAUAAUUUUAACUUGUAAGAUAUUUUUACUAAUGAAAAUAUCCAAUGUGUGAUAUGUCAAGGAUUAGGGCAUCAUCACUCAUACAAUAUUUUAUAACAGUGUAACUUGAAUGAAUAGUCUAAUUCAAUUUACAACAAACUUCACAUUUGAGGAAUUUUAGUAAAGUUUUUAUAAUUAUGAGCUGAGUACACGUCACAUUUUUUUAAUUUAAACUCAAUUUAAGUUAAAUUUGAAUAAAUAUUUGAACUUAAAACGGGACUUUAUUUAGUAUUUUGAUAAUAUUUAUAAUUUUAUAUCAUCCUAUAUAAUAAUCUUAAUUUUAUUUUAAUUUUUAGAUUUGUUUAAAAAGUUAAAUUGUAAUUAUAUGACAUACUUUUUAAUCUUUUAAAUAUAUGUAAAUUUAUUUAUUUUAUUUUUUGCUAUUAUCUUUGAUUUUUUUUUCUUAUUUACUAUUUAAACCUUAAAAUAAAUACAUAAGAAAUAUCAUUACAACACGAGCUUAAAAAAUAAGAUUAAGUUAAAUUUGGAUAGAAUAAUCCGAUUGAUUGAAUUAAGUUUAAAUUUAUUAUAUUUUUAAUCAAGGUUUGACUUUUAUCGCCACUAACUCAAUCCAUCCAUAUUGCAUUAUUAAUAUUUUCUCAAAUAGGAAAAAAAGGAGGUAUUUUUUUUUUUUUGAAAGAAAAAUUAUUUUAUUUAUUUAUUUAUUUGUUUUAUCCAUUGAUUUUGUGGAUAAGGCAAUUGACCAAUUAAAUAUUUUUUUUAUAAAUGAUAAUUAAAAAAUUAAUUUCCAAGUACGAGUAUAAACCAUCCCAAAGACUUCCUAUUUAAAACUUUUAAUAGAAGAGGUUAGGAAAGCUAUUUUUCAUAUUUGACUUUUAUUCCUGGAAUUAAUUAGGCAUCACCCACCACACUCAAAACAACAAGCUACAAUUCCUUAAGAAAACUCUUUUCCAUAUCAGAGAAACUAUCUCCAUUUAUGGUCUGAAUUUUUUAUAUCACAAAAAUAAAAUUUCAAUGCUAUUCAUAAAUGGCUUAUUUAUAAGAAAUGUUUUGUUAAAAGCUUUUAUUUUCGUUGAUUUUUAAAACAGAAAAUAUAUUUAUAUUUCCCAUCAAGUUACUUUCCUUCCUAUUUUUAAAAAACAGCAAGAAAAAAUGAAUUAUCCGAUUCUAUGCUAGACAAAAAUUAGAAAAGAGCCGAUUUUUUUUUUCAUUUUUAUUUGACUCCGACUUUUUCAUAGUUUGCUUCCCCUUGAAGCCCUAAUCUCAUCUUCCCAUUUAAAAGAAAAAUUAAAAUAAAAUAAAAUAAAAAAAUAAAAGGGAUGAAUAGAGGAAAAAAAUGAGAAAGGUAGUGCAAAGGAGUAAUUACUAUAUAAAAAAAAUUUAAUAUAUAAAAUAUGUCCAAAAUUUAGGCUCCCAACAAAAUGGCCCUGGAUAUAAAAUAAAAAUUUGUUUAAAGGAUCUAUGAACUAACUUCAGAAUCUGAAAAUAUAAACAAAAUUUAGGAGACCUCUGUAAAAGAUUUUGUUAUUAUAAAGGUUAAAAAUACUGAGAUAGAUUUAGUAGUUUCUGAAAACCGAACAAUUCCUUAUCCAAACAAGCUGAGCCGACCUAUAUGUAAUCAAAAUGUGGAUAAGAAGAAGCGUGCUACCAAACACGGUGAUUGUCCACCUGGGCAAACGCACAUGCCAGUAUGCCACACAUGAAAAUGGAACUGGCGUGAGCUUUCUAACGCCGACCCACAAUUCUCUUUUGUCUAUAAAUGCAUUGACCCGCUGCCCGUUACCUCCCCCUCUAUAAACUUUCCCGAGAAAGUGAGAGAGAGGAGAGAAGAAACGCUCCUCUUCCGAUCCUCUCUUCUCGUAUUUUCUCACCUAUCAAACACCCCAGCCCGUCCUCAAGCAAACCCUAAUUUUCUCCUGAAUCUCAUCAAUGGCGGAUGCGUUCUGCACCGACUGUAAGAAAAACACCGAGGUCGUGUUCGAUCACUCGGCGGGCGACACGGUGUGUUCCGAGUGCGGGCUUGUGCUAGAGUCUCACUCGAUUGAUGAGACCUCCGAGUGGAGAACGUUCGCUAACGAGUCGGGCGACAAUGACCCGGUCCGUGUUGGCGGCCCAUCCAACCCGCUUCUCACUGAUGGUGGCCUUUCUACCGUUAUAGCGAAGCCGAACGGGGUUUCGGGCGAUUUCCUGUCGAGUUCGUUAGGGCGAUGGCAGAAUCGGGGUUCGAAUCCUGAUCGGGGUCUGAUUCUGGCUUUCAAGACCAUCGCGACUAUGUCUGAUAGGUGUUAAAUUUGUUUUCGGUUUUUGUUGGAACCAUAGGGAUGCUUUUUUUUUUUAUUGGGAAAAUUAAUUUAGUCGAUGGGAAAAGUGUAGGGAAGGUUUAAGCUUCGAGUAAUUUGGGGAUGAAAAAGAUGACAUAGGGUUUACUUCUUUGAUCAUUGUCAACCCUGGAGCUUGCUUGGUUGCCAAGAAAAUUAAGAUCUAUUGGAUGGGUCAUGAAAGUUAAAAGGAAGAAUAGAAAAGUAAGAUUUGAGCAUUGAAGUGCAGUAUGGUUGCUGCAAAAAUUGAUGAUAUCUUGACUAGUGAGCAAAUGUAGGAAAACAAGUCCUAGGAAGAGAGCCUUCGGUUUAAUAUCGAUCUUCAUUUGCUGGGAUCUUUUUGGCUGCGGAGAGUGUGGGAAGGAAAGAAAAUGAAAUUGUAAUUUUGAAUACUCAAGAUCCGUGGAACCAAAAAUGCCCAAUUAAACAGAUUGACUCCAUUUUAAGUAUCGUGCUAUCUGGGACUGGGGCCAUAGGAAAAAAUCGCCUACGGGUCCAAUAAAUUUGGGUUUUGGCUCGUUGUUAGUCCUAGAUGCCAUAUUUGGUCCCUUUUAAAAUGUCUGGAAAUAAAAGAAAAGAAAAGAAAAUUUAAAUCUUGGAUUACUUAGAGAAGAAGUGGAAUAGUCAUAUACUUGAUUUCAAGGUUUUGGUUUAAGUCAUCCGUAGGUUGCUUUUCACGAAAAGGCUAACUCGGAAUAAAAAACCAGCAUAGGAACUUAAUUUGAUUUGGCCACCUUUCCUAAAUCCAAAUUUGUCAAACUAGUUGGGAGUUUAAACUCCUGGACGCGGGUAUACAUUUAAAUAUUAAUAGAAGUUCGUAAUUUAUUUUUGGAUAGGUUUAUAAGAUGUCAUUAAUUUAUUAUUUGUUUAAGUAAAUUGGUCUCAUAGAGACCCUAAGCAUCUAAUACAAGGUUAAGUUAAUAUUGGUUUUUCCAUACUAAUAUGUGAGGAUGUGUAGAUUUUUAUUGGAAAGUCUUCAUAUUGCUAAAUCUCAUAUUUUUCCAAAAAUUAGCUUGUAGAAAUAUUUUCAUAAAUUGCUAUUACAAAAAAUGUAGCUAAUGCAGCUACUUUAUGUUUCAGGUUGGGCCUUGUUGCGACCAUAAAGGUAUGCUAUCUAUGUGCUGCUAUCAUAUUACAUUAUGAGAUAGAUAGUUUCAGCCCACACAAUCCCAAACAUAGAUAGUUUAAUGAACUAACUCCUUUGUAUUUUCAUUGUUUGUAAAUUAUAUGUAAUAUAUGGGGUAUUAUCCUUUUCUUUCCUUUUUGUGUAAAAGGAAUUAUUUUGUCUAGCAAUUUUAACAUUGGGUUGGUGCUAACAAAGAAGAAAAAAAUUGUCUUUGAAUAUGUAUUACUUCCCUUUUUUGUUUGUUUGUUUGUUUACCUUCCAACAAUCUUAAAAUCAAAGGGUACUUUAGUACCAAACUUCCAUAGACUCUUAUGCUGAUAUCACAUCGUGACAGGGUUGUCAUAAAUGAAUAAAGCCUAGGCAUAUCAGUAAAGAAAUUCUAAAAAUAAAAAUAGCUAAAAUUAUAGGAAUCCACAUCUUUUGUUUUCAAUCCAACAUCCCAACAUCCCAGUGAUAUAUUUGCAAAUGAUUCAUUAUUUCUCAGAAAUUACUGAAAUAGAAGAAAGGUAUUUUGAUCUAUGACAUGAAAAAAUGCAAUUCAAUCUUGGGAGAAAAAUAGAAACCAACUAUCAUGGGUGAGGAGGCUGUUUGCUCGAUUAGUCAUGCAUGAAUGUGACUUAAGUGUAAGUGGUCUUGGUCAAAUUGGCAUUAGAAGCAACUCUGGAAAUCAUCCUUGUAUGUCGGGUUUCUUGUUUAUUGUUUGUUGAGUUUUUUGGGUUUUUGCAAGCCUAUGAAUAGAGCUAUUUAAUAUAAACGACAAUGAUUAUGCUAGUUAUCUUUGCUAUCUAUAAAAAAAAUGAAUGCUAGUUAUGUUUGCAUUCUUUAGUGGUGGAAUACCAUUACUAUCUCCUUUUAGAUGAGGCCUCUGUAGGUCUCAGUGAUCAAAGGUUUUAACUCUUUGUGUUCCUCCUCUAUGUUCUCCUUGCUUUUAUUUUACCAUAUUUUUUGUUGCCAUUAAUUUCUCAUUCCUAUCCUUCAAUCCUAAGGAAGCGACUCCGUAGCCUGUGAUUACUUGAUUUUAUGCAAGUGAUAUUCUUGUGGCAUAUUUGGAUUGGCUCUUGGGCUGCUUUAUCUUACCUUUUGCCUAUAGAAGUUUGCUAUUUAUCGGGGAGGCUCUAUUUUGGCAUCAGUUGGUUUUUUAGUAAAAUUCUAAAAGGCUACCUCCAUCAAUUAUGUUUUUAACUAAAAUGCCAUUUCAUAAUUGCCUCCUUUCCUCUCACCCUUUCUUUGGUAACUACUUCCAACAUGCAUGUUUAGCUAGAUGCAGAUCAUGUUUGUCCAGCAACAGCCAAAGACGAGUGCAGAGAAGCUAAGUUUAACAGGUUUAUUAUGGUUUAGAGGUCGUAGACGAUAGUGAGAGGGAGGGAUAGCAGCAGAGCAGUAAACCUUGAAAAGAAUUUGGAAAAAAAUGUAUUAAACAUUUCUUGCAUUUCAAUCUAUAUAUGAAUACGAAUCUCUGGUAUAAGUUGAACAAAAAGUCAUAUUUCUGUCUGUGCUUGUUAUUCCUCCCAUAAUUUAGUUUCAAAGUUAUUUGAGUAUCGUAUCUCCUCUGAUGGUGCCUUUGUAAUUUAUUUGAAGGACCGCGCUAAUGAAAUAUAUAAGAAGGUAGAAGAUCAAAAGUCUACUAGAGGAAGAAAUCAAGAUGCUCUGUUGGCUGCCUGUCUCUAUAUUGCUUGUCGACAAGAAGACAAACCACGCACCGUAAAGGGUACAGCCUAAGAUUCUUUUAACAUAUGGAUGCUUCCUGAUUUACUAUUCUCUAUGCGAAUGAGCUUCCUGAAACUGUGGAUGUCAACUAGAAAUUUGCUCUGUUGCCAAUGGAGCCACAAAGAAAGAAAUUGGCCGAGCAAAAGAAUACAUAGUGAAACAACUAGAGGCUGAGAAGGGUCAAUCGGUAGAGAUGGGAACUAUACAUGCUGGAGACUUCAUGGUGAGGAUUUUCUGAAGUUAAGCACAUUUGUUAUGUUUAUGUAGGCGGCAUUUUGUACACUGCAAUAUUGUUGUUUCUUAAAUAUGUCUUGUUAAUGACAUUAAUCUUAAUCUAAUCUCUAGAGGAGAUUUUGUUCCAAUCUCGGGAUGACCAACCAAGUGGUUAAAGCUGCCCAAGAAGCUGUGCAGAAGUCUGAAGAGUUUGAUAUAAGGUAUAGUUCUGGUUUUCUACUCUUGUCAUGUUACUAUCCUGAUACCAUUAUGCUUAAUGAUGGUUAUUUGCAAUUUUUAUUUUUCUAUUCAUAUCAAUUUUGCAUGAUUUCUGAAUCAGUACAUUUAGCUGGACAAGCAGGAGUAUCUGAAAGAACUUUUAAUUUUCUCAAGCAACCCAAGCAGCAAAUUAAGAAAAGAGCUGAUUGAGGUAGUAUAGGGUUUAUGAAUGUUUAGAAUGAAAGUCAAUAAAGAACACCCAUAAGAAACUAGUCAAUUUGAGCUAGCUGAAGGUUCUCUAUGAGGGAUUGAUUAGGACCAAAAAGGUUGUUCAUGGAGUUUGGUCAAAGUCAAAAGUUUUGGCAUCUCAUGGUAUCUUCAGUAAGGAUUAGAUCUGCCCAAAAGAUGAAUGACUCUUUGGCGUGCUACUCCCUCAAUCUCAUAGUUGUGUUCAAGCGCAUGUGUAAAUUAGAUUUACCCUAAAUAUGGUAUUUUAAGGGAAAUACUCCCUCCCUUCCGCUGGGUUAUGCAUGUGUAUUUGCAAUCCCUAUAGUGGCAAGUGUUGGAAUGGAGUCUAACUCGAAAAAUGUAUCGUUCUGCUUUAAAUAUGGCAUUUUGAAGGAUUAUGCAUUAGAAAUCCUCAUUCUGCUUUAAAUGUGGUAUUCUUCGUUCCGCUGAAUUUUGCAAUAGUGUUAGCAAUCCUCUUCUAGCACUGGAAAUAGGAAACUAGGGCCCAGAUUGAACAAUGAAUGACUGCUUGAACUACAAUCCAAGCCUUGAGUUUAACAUGGGCUACCCGACCAAAAAGCUGCCCAGUCUGAUUUUCUUGAACUAGAGGCAAAACAACUUGGUAGUAUGAUAGAACGGAGAGAUGAAGCUUGAGAGAUGUGUUGAAAUGAGGAGGAUGGUGUCAACUGGUGAUGGGAGUGCAGUGUUGGGGGUCGGGGGGACCUAGGGAAAGCAAGGAGCUGGUUGUGUUUGUUUUGGUUUGGUUGGAAACAUAAUGGACUUAGAAGUUAGAAUUAGAGAAAAUCACCUAGUGAGAGAGGACAUAUGGGACUAAAAGAGUUGCUCAGACUUCAUUCUGAUCAUGUGCACUGAAAAACAGAGGUCAAUCGUGCUGAAGAUGCUAGGGUUUAUUUUGUAAGAGAAGCAGGGGAUCUAAAAGUUUUAAGUUUUUUAUGCCUUUGAAGCGAUGUACUAUGACCAGUAGAGAGGAGAUAUGCAACAUGUCUUUUGAGUAUAGGGUUCUUUUAUUAUGUUUUGUACUUUUGACCCCCUUCCUUUUUUACUGGAUAGCACAAGAUGCAAACAAAUAUUGAUCACAUGGGUGCAUUCCCUGAUCAAGAAAUGGGAAUUUUUUCCCAUUCCCUGAUCAAGAAAUGGAAGUAAUGGUUUAUUGAUAUCAUUAGCCCACAUAAGUAUUAUUUUUUUAAUUUAUAAAAAUUUAGUAACUGUGCAUGUUCAAAAGUUUGCUUUUUCGAAAUAUUCUGUAUUCACCAAGAGGAAACCACUGCCAUGCAAAUUGUCCUCUUGUGAACUACUAACCUGUCAACUGUCCAAGGUCUUCACUGCUCAGUUCAUGUCCCAGAAAUGGUUCAUCUCUGGAUGGCACUAAAAUCAUGGUGCUUUAAAAUUUUACCCCAAGAAACCAAAAAAAAAAAAAAAAAAAAAAACUGAAACUGACUCCUGUCUCUCUCUAGCUCCAGAUUUUUUUUUUUUUUCACACAAUGGCCCAAGUGUACAUAAAUUUGAGCCUCUGCAUGAUUAGCCAAGUUGUGCCUCAGAAAUGAUUUUCUGUCUUCAUGGAACAUAAAAAAGGAUCUUUUCAUUGAUAUGGAGGUUUUUUAUGGUUAUUUAUUGUUGUGUUUGUUUGUUGGGAUUUGGGUUUUGGGGAAGGAGGGGUGUGGCCAUUGUGGGUGGAUUUCUUUGUUAAGAAUAAGGAACAUUUUUUAUUCAGAAGUAAAGUGUUCAUGGAUCUUGCUCAAAUGGAAGUGUUUUGCUUUUUUUUUAGUCCCUCUCAUCUUGGUUGUUUAUCUAAUGAUUACAACUUGCCCAUAAUAAUAAAAAUUAAUAACUCUUUUUGUCUUUUUAUUCUUUUCUCAUUUCUUUUGUUUUUUAAUUUGUUGCAGGAGAAGCCCAGUAUCAAUUGCAGCAGCAGUUAUUUACAUUAUAACUCAGCUUUCAGAUGAGAAGAAGCUUCUCCGAGGUUUAAACAUCCACCAUUUUAUCCAAAUUGGUUUGCAUAAGAGCCUUGAAACUGAAAAAUAGGGGGUUUCUUAUUGCCUUGCUACUAUCCCCUUUACACACACUAAUUCUGCAUGAUUGUUACCAGACUGUCCAUGGUCGCAUAAUUAGAAUAGAAUUUUAAGGAUUGACAUGGCUGAUGGUUGGGCUCCAACAUUGCAAUCAGUGAGGCCAAUGUUGGCUCUUUGUGUCUCCUAUUUAUUCAUAUUUUGAAGUUGUAGUUUGGUAAUAAUGGAAACAUGGGUGGUGCAGAUAUCUCAAUUGCUACGGGAGUUGCAGAAGGAACAAUCAGAAACUCCUACAAGGAUCUCUAUCCCCACAUUUCAAAGAUAAUACCAAGUUGGUAUGCCAAGGAGGAGGAUCUCAGAAAUCUUUGCAGCCCUUGAACAAAGUUGUGGAGCAAAAUACAACAGCAGCGGCAGAGCACACAAUAUCCGUCUGGGAGCAUAUCUUGCAUUCGAAUGUUCUCCAAGUCUUGUUUAACAUACAAAAACCAUUCCAAUUUUCCUUUUCCUUUUCUUCUUCUUCUUCUCCUCCUCUUAUUUAGUUUUCCAUGAAUGGUACCAAUGCCCUUGUGGAUUUUGCUUGGAUUUUUAUUUUAACACUUUAGGCAUCAGCAGCUAUUUUUUUAGAUGUUGGCUAUCCCUUGACCAACACACACUCCCAAGAGUGCAUAUAAUAUAAGAUAUUUCAUUUCGUUCAUACUUGCUGGGUGGCUCAUGCUUAAAAUAAAUAUGUUGUUGGUAUUUUGUUCCCUUCUUAUUUAUUCUUAAAUAGUAUAACCAAGUCAUUUUCAAAGUCUUUCUUUUCUCAUUAUGAAUCCCCUUCCAUUCCACAACAAUAGAAAUUGCUUUUGUUUUAGACAUGGAGACUGAAUUGAAACCACGCCGUUUUCGUUGGAGAGAAUCCAUCUCUGCUUGAUUUAAUUUUGCUAAUUCCUCUAGAGCUUAUGGGCCAUGGGGGGGAAAAUUAAGUACUUGUUUGGUAAUUGUUUUUGUGAAUGUAGUCUAUUUUUCGGAACAGAAGUGCAAGAACCGAAAAUUUGGUAUUCGAAAAACAAGAAACAAGAAGCAAUUUUUUGUUUUUAAAAUAAAAAAUAGGGCGUUAAUAGAGGGUAUGCUGUAGUGUAACGUGCACUUCUCUUCUGUCGGCCACAAGGAUUCAAGCGGUGCGUUUUCGCUCCUUUUUGUUCCGCAGUCUUUCUCCUUCUUCCUCACUCCCAACAAAUCCGUACAAUCAUCAACCACAGCAUCGGAGAAGAAAGAAGAAGACUGCCUCCACCCUACUGCAGAAGGAGGGUAUAAAAUCUUGUUCUCUUUUCCAUUUCCCCUUUUUUCUAAGAAAAGUUUCUAGUAGUUUUUUAGAACUUGUUUUUAAAAUCAGGGGAAAAAAUGUCUUCGUCCUAAUCAACUGAGAUUAAAAUCCAACACCAAAAUUAUCGGUGCAGUGACUUGUUAUAGUUUUUGAUUUUUUUCGUCUUCUUCUUCUUCUUUCUUCUUUUUGGGACAAUUGGAGUUUUCUAAAAUUGAAAUGUGAUUUUUUCAGUAAUUGGUAUCGUGGAGGAUGAGGAUUGGGCAAGUUCUUCCGGUGGAGCUAGCAAUUCUGAGAUCUAUCUUCAAGAUGCCAAUGAUGAAGAAGAACAUUACUGUAUUUCUGGUUCUAUAUCCAAUUUGCAAUUUAGGUAGAGCUUUAGAACCAAUAGCUCCCAUCGAGGUCCAGAAUAGUGGUUUUACAACCUAAAUGUGUGUAUUGUUUCGCAGCAAAGCAGUUUCCAAGGCGAUUUGGAAUGAUGAGAUAGGAAUGGCUGCGGUUGUGGAAAAGAAGGGCAAGAUAUGGAUAACAACUGGAGUAGUUCGAAACAGCAAGACCUAUUGCUCAAUUGAGGAGACUUUGUAUGCGACAUACUGACUUUAAUGUUUCUAAUUCUUGUUUUCUUAUUGUUGUAAUUAUUAUUUGUUCCUUUAUCAUUCCUUACAUCUCUUGACAAGUGAUAAUGCAACUACCAUAAACCCAAUGCAAGUAAUUGAGCGAGUCUUUGAUUUAAUUCAUUUACCUUUUUGAAUAGGAUGCUAGAGUCUUCCAAACAUGAGCUACAAAACAAAUCUUAGAGAGCCUAGACAUUAUGACUACAUUGUUGUGCUACCAGGUAGAGGAUGGUCAAGUGGAGGAUUUGUUGAUGGAUGUAAAGCUGGUCAAAUAGACGUCUUAGGACACAUUAAACAUUGUGAAUAAUCUAUCUACUAUAUAACACAGAAAAUGUGUAUCUACUGGAAACAUGGGAAACUUUAGUUGGGGCUUGGCUCAAUGUAAAUAUGGUUUUGAGUAUGAUAUAAUUAGUUGCAAGAUUGCUUAUAUUUACAUCUCACGGAAUACUUUUAACACAAUGAAAGCUCAAAAUAGUAUUAUUUUCUUUGUAAUUUUGUUGGUUUUAGCCAUAAUUUUCUUUGGUGCCUUACCAGAGGAAAAAGAAUGGCAACGGAAAAAGUAAGCAAAGAGGUCUGUAAACGCUAAACAAUGUUGAAUUUACCUUACCAAAAUUUCAAUUUAUCAUGCUGUCUAAAUUAGCCAAUUUCAGCAAGACCUGAAGGUUAUUCAAAAAUGCGUAGGGGUUGAAGAUGGUAGUACUUACGAAAUAUUUUUUUAAUAGGUAAGCAGAAUCUGAUUAAAGAUGCCAAACAGAAAGGAGUUACAUCCUAUGUACAUGGGGGGUAUAAAAGAAAACCAAGCAACCUAACUAUGUAUAGUUUAGACUGUCAAUGAAUUCCAUCAAUUUAAAAUUUUCAUAUGUAAAGGGAAUCUAGACCCUUCACAAAGGAACAUAAUAAGAAACUCCUUUAAUUUUUUUAUUUAAAUUCUCUUUCCUUUUAAAACAUCGUUUGUGCUGCUCUCUCCAAAUGUACCAAGAAGCAAAGGGUGGUCGGACACCAAACCUUCGUUAAUUUAUCUAGCCUCCAAAACUUUUAGUCUAAUAAAAAGUCUUUGACUAAGGAAAAAUCCGUUGUCUUCCAAAUAUAUCCAGCAACAUUUCCCACAACUGUCUUGUUAUGGUACAGUCAAAAUUACCCUCAAAAUGUCUCUUUUGAUUGUAUAUUUCUUAUCUAGUAGUAUUUGAGAAAUAUACAAUUAAAAAAAAAAAAUAUCGAUUUUAACUUUUUUUAAGGAGAAUUAAAUUUUGCUAUACGCAUACAACAAAUUAUUCACUUGUGCGAUCUUUGAGGAGAAGAUUAAGAAGUACUCACUAGUCAUACCCUUUUUGUUAGCAAUAUGCUUAAAGCUUUUUGUGUAGGUUUGUGGCUGAACAAGGAGCAUUGCAUCUAUUGGAUGAUAAUAAUGUGACUAUUUCCUUAAAAGGUAUAUAUGAUAAGGUUGCACAAGGGAAGUGUGGAUGCUUUUGGGAGUCUUUUGAGGUUUAUAGGCACUUGAAGUCUCUUGGUUACAUUGUUGGGCCGCAUGGGAUCCUUUGUACUCCGAAGAGUACCAAAACUUGUUUGGAAUCCCAUUAGGGCACCCUAGAAGGCAAGGUAUGAUACAUGGAGAAUCAAAGGAUAAAAUUUCCAUCAUAGAACUGGUCAAUAAUGUGCACAUUACUAAAGUUAAACUGGUUUUUGAUGUUUAUCUUCCUAAUAGCAAGUUUAGGAAGUCUUUUUCGGGUGAUCCAAGUAUACCAUAUUUCAUCAAGUUUUUUAUGGCAAUCAUUUGUUUCUGGGUUAUGUCCAAUUUCCUGCUAUAUUAGAUAUAGCCAUGAUGUUUUUUCACAAGAAGGCAUGUCUAAGUCGUGUUCUUUUUUGAUAAGUAGGAAAUUGUAUUAAAAAUGCAUAAAGCGCACAAGAGUACACUGGGAGUAUGCAAUGAGCGUAAAAAACAGAAUAAAAAAGGGGGUAAACAAAAACAACUCCUACCCUCAGGAAGGACCCAACCAAACUACACAAUCAAUUAAGGACAAAGAAUUCUCAUGAAUGUACACCUAAAUCCACAAAAAAAGAUUGGCAAGGAAAGAACUAUUAAGACUUUGAUCUCACAUCUCCUCAUCUUCAAACACUCUUCAACUUCUUUCCUUCCAUAGAGUCUAAAAAAUACAUAAAGGGGCUGCUCUUCAAGCUUUCUUAUGCCUUAUUCCACUAGAAGAACUUUGCCACCCUAGUAGGGUGUCUCAUACCGAGGUAGAAACAACCCAUGGGAUCCCAAAUAAAGAGAACACCAACAGCCAUAAGAUCCUUGCCUUAGCACAAUGAAGAAGAAUGUGGUUGAUGGAUUCCAACUCCACUCUGCAAAGAGCACACCUAUUGACUAAUGACCGACCUCUUCUUUGGAGUGGUCCAAAGUCAACACCUUCCCCCAACAAACUUCCCAAGCAAAAAUUUUCACUUUAGAGGGAACCCAAAAAUUCCGUAUAAUCCCUAUUGGAAAAGGGGUAACACAAUCUGGUUUCAACGAGUAAAGGACUCUUACAUAAAAUCUUCCUUUACUAUAUCGCCUUUCCAAACCACUCUAUCCUCCUAUUCCCUAUUCACCGAAUGACCUUGCAAUUGAAGAAGGAAUCUCUCCACAAAAUCCAACUCCUAAUCAUUUAGAGUCCUAGCAAAAUGGAACUUCCAAGCCCCUCCUCCCUCCUUUUGCUCCCACAAAUCUACUACCUACACCUUUUUAGCGUCGGAUAAAGCAAACAAAAUAGGGAACAUAUAAGUCGUGUUCUUGGAAAAGGUACAAAGUUUUUUUCCCAAAUGUUGUGUGGUUUAAGAAAAAACUAUAUGUCAAGAUAUCAAUAGAUCUUGAACUUUUUUGGAAGUGGAACUCAUGCUUGUCAUAGCUUUUCAUAGUUGUGACAAACAAAAAAUAUUUCUUAAAAAACGACUUUGAAUGUGAAGGCUACAUCAAAAUGCAUUUUAACUCCAAGCAUUACUGAAGUUUUAUUACAUUCUAGAAGGAAAUUAUUUUUGGUGGGCUAUUAGAGUGGUGAAUACAUGGAUAUGAAUAUCCAUGUUUCUUUUUUAAAACGUUAUUUCCAUUAACUUUGUGGAAAUUUUCUUAACAAUUUGAGAGGGAACAGUUGUCAUCAUUGACAUCUUUUAUGGGUUGACUAAUUUGUCCAGCAUGAAGAGAAGCAUGUUCCUUGUUUGUAUUUGAAGCAAUUUUCUUACUAUGCUUUCCUUCUGUGUCAAAGAAAUUAUUUGCAUAGCCAAAAACAAUGAAAACUUGGAAAUAAUAAAUUCUUCACUUAGUAGUUUCAAAUUCUGUUUUCUAAUAAUUUGGACAUGUAAGAAAGAAAGCUCAACCAUGGUUCUAGUUACACAGAACCUGUUUAAAGCUUUCUUAUUCUUUGAUGUCACUUAGACUGCCCUAUUUGGUUAAUAUUUUGAUAGGUUGUUAAUAAAAAAUGUGCAAAAAAUAGCCUGAAAUAAGCAGGGGCUGUUGCAUAAUAAUAAUCAGCCAAGUAACAUUUUUUUUUUUAAUUCUCCAUGCCUACAGGUCAUGCAAUGUAUUAUUGCUCUUUUUGUGCUGUAUGUUGAUUAUAACUCGAUUAAAGCACCUUAGGCUUAUUUGCUAGCAGUUUAACAUCUUUAGCUGUUAAAAAUGGGGGAAACAAAGGAAAUUUGGAAUGUUACUGUUCCUUGGUUCUUUCUUAAAAGAAGCAUUUACUCUUGAAGAAUACUUCUGAAUUAGGCCAUAGCUAUCAUUUCAAUGGUCGUUAGAGUUCAGUCAUUCAUUUCCAAAUGCUUCAUUUCUUCUCCCUUCUAUGCAUUUGGUUGCUUAUUAUUAACAUGUUCUAAGAGCUAAAAAUUUUGUUUUCUCACAUAGUGGUCCUCCACCAUUGAAAGCACAGAUUGAAGACCUUUAGAGACAGCGCAGUGGCGUUCCUUUCAAGUUUUGUCAUGUAGCACAUGGACAGGUUAGUUUCUUCUCCUUCAGCAGAGUGGAACGGAACUGUUCUGCCCUGACAUUCUGGAUGAAGUUUUAUGUGUACAAAAUCUGUUAGAUUAGUCUAACUAAAAUGUAGUUGGAGUUGCCAGAGCGUAUCCCUACAUUGUGGUGUGUCUUAUUUAUAUCAGGACAAUAAUGUUUGCAUAUGAAAGUCCUUUUUAGAGUGUUUGCACAUGGAAAACUAUUUGCGAAUAACCAUGUAUUUUAUCUCUGUAAUGCAUAAAUCAUUUACUUGUCAAAUGUUUGCUUUGAGAAAAUGAUCAAGGAUAUAUGAACCUCUUGGUCCCCAAUGCAAGCCUAAAAUUUUUCUCAGAAUUGGUCUUUUAAAAAAUAUUCAGUUAAUUUAAACUUUUAUCAGAUAUUGGUACCUUUGUCUUGUCAAAAAUUUCAAAAGGGAUAAUAUUAGCUUUUGUGGGACUUCAUCAGAAUCAUAGAAAAUAACACUCUGAAGCAGUAAGCUUUUGGCUAUUAGCCCUUUUCAGAGUUUAAUUGUUCUUUGCAGUUUAUAGAGACAAAAAAAAGUUGAGAACAUGAUUAGACUUUUAAAGUACUAUGAGAAAUCAAAUCUUAGAAGAAGGAUCAGUUUCUAAUGGUGAGCUUUAUUUAAAAGCAGAAGGAAAAAUACAAGAAGAAGCUUCUCUGCCUAGCCAAAUCUUAGAUGGAUCUGUUGUGUUACUCCUCUAGUCUAUUUCGUUUGUCUAUUCUUUUUCAUUGCAUUCAUGACUAAUCAUGGUAAAAUAUUGUACUGAUUUGUAAAUGAGGUUAGUUGGCUAAUUAACAGAAUUAAUAUUCUAGCUAAGGCAAAACUCCAUGGAAGCAUUAUGGGACUGAAAAAUAACAAUAAUAACAACAAUAGUAGCCAUGAACAGGUCUCAAUACAUUUCCAAUAUCAAUCAUUGUAUUACACUUAGUGCACUUGUUUUUGGAUGUUUGCUAUAAUAAAUUUAUUCAUGAUCAUGACUUUUGAUUCAUUUAUGUUCUUAUCAAAGUACUCAGUAUAUUGAUGGGCACCUUUUUUUUUCCCUUGUUUUUCUUCAUGGCUAAUGUUUUUUAUUUUCUUUAUUGCACAGAGUUUGAACAUGGAACCUCUCCCAUUCUCAUCUCUAUCCCUUGCCACUUGAGCAAGUCUCAAGGGCUAUGCUGAGAAGAUCUUUACCAAACUAGCAUUAGGUCUGAAUUCAAAAAGAUUACUAUUGUCAAUUUUUGGAAGCUUAUUGUCAUGACUUGCUCAAAUGGCCCUCCCUUGAGCUUAUAUAGGUGAGUGGGAAGUUUCUAAAACCUUGGAGUCAUCUACACUAGUGGAAGAGUGUGGAAGGUUCUGGAGAGACUUAGAGAUGUUGACACAUCUCUACACUAUGGUGGAAGACAAGGGAAGAGUAUGGAGCUAUCUACAAAGUUCCAGAGGUCUCUUGUAAAUACUUUUAAAUAGUCUAUGUAUAGAGAAUUCUAGGAUAGUGGGGAAUCUUUGGGGGUUCUAGGGAGUUCCACUAGUGCCUAUAAAUAGGCGAGGGCCUCAUUUGGCCAAGACAUCACUCAAAUCACCUCCUAACCAAGCAAGUGAGCUUCCAAAUCAUUAUAAAACAUCCUUUGAGCAAUAAAAACUUCCUUUCUUUAAGUGUCUUUUGUUCUCGUAGCUUCCAAGUCAUGUGUCUAAUUUAGCCUAACUAGCUAAGGACAAGGGGAAGGCUAAGUUAGCAACAUCAAGCGUCUUGAAGUUGUCUAACUACCGCACAUGAGCUUAGGAGAAGCCUAAGUCCGUGACAUUAUGCAUUUAUUAAAUAUGUUAGAAGAAUACGGUUUGUAUAACUAAAGGCUUAGAGAUUUGUUUAUUAGAUAGCUUAGCCUAGAAAUGAUCUUAUGAUCCAUUAGGGGCACAUAUCCGUUGCAAUAAAGAGACUGUUGGAACAAAUUGCAGAGUCAUUUUCAUGAAGCUCAUUAUGUGCUCAUUGUGUGGCAUUCCUUCUUUGUUCUUUAUGGUUUUGGCAGAGAAGGGUUUGCCUUGUUCUUUUCUUCCAACCUAAUUUCAGUUAUAGACAUUGUAGUGUCUGACCAAGUCUCAUUGUCUCAACCUAGUGGCCUAUGGAAUGUAGUGGCCAGACUGAAGAUUAGAGUGCUUUGGCAAGACUUUUCCAUACCUGGAGCAGUAAGAAAAUCAUUACUCUAGAGGUCAUUUUCUAGAUUUGGAGAAGUUUGUUGCCCAGUUCAUCACCAAAGCAUUGCAAGCAUUAUGGAGAAAGUUCUUAUAUCUCUAAUAGUUUUAAGUAAGAUUUGCAAUUUAACUACUCAAUCCAAGUUUUUUUUCUCUUUUUAACUUUUUUUUUUUUUUUCCCUCUCAAAUUAAAGAAGGUUAAUAAGGAGAGAUUUGUAAAGCUAUUCUUAUAUUUUAACCUUUUCUGAUCCUAGGAGAGCCUUGCUUUGUUGAUUGUCAAUCCCUUCAACCUGAGAACUGUAGUCACAGGGAUUCACACACACAUACACAUUGCACACAUUCAUCCCCAGAUAAGUAAGAGCUUGCGCACACUUACAAAAUGAUUAAUUUCAAUAAGUGAAGUGUAUUUUGUAGUACUGAUUUUCAUUCAAUUUAUCAGAAGAUUUGAAUCUAAAGAAGACAAUUCUAAGGUAGGACAUUUUUUGCUUCAAUGUGACAAAUAAAUUUAUCUGCUAAUAUGAGCAAUGAAAGAAUCCAACUCCAUGCAAGAAGCCCCUCUGUCAUCCAUUGACCUCCAGAUGGCACCACCCAAUUCCACAGCCCUCUUCCUUAUGUCAUUGCCUUCUUUUGAUGCCAUUAAUCUUCUUAGGGCCUUUUCAAUUGUAGACGAUGUAACUAGUUCUUCCUGAUGUUCCCAUUCUCUAAAAACUAGACCAACUUUGAGCAAUUAGGUUACUAGCAGACUGUUCUGAGGCUGGUCCGAGUGCAUUGGCCAUGCUGCUAUAGGGACCCCCAUGGUAAUGCUCUCCAUGCAUGAGUUCCAUCCACAGUGACUCAUGAAUCCACCAGUAGACACAUGCCCCAGAAUUUCCAGUGGGGGUGCCCAGUCUCUCACAACCAUUCCCAGUCCCAUUGCUUUCACUCUCUCUUCUUACCCUUGAGGAAGUUCAGCUCUCCUGACUUCUCCAGUAAAAAUAUCUCCUCUAUAAGCAUCCCUCAACACCCAGAUAAACUUUUGCGCACUCUGUUCUAACCCAAUAGCUAGCCCUUUGAUCUGGUCAUCAGAGACCGAGACAAAUGUUCCAAAUGAAAUGUGUACUACAGAUUGUGGAUCUUGUUUAUCUAGCCAUUCCAAGCAUUUAUCCGGGCUAUUUGAGUUCCUAUGCCGGUAGAUUGUUACUGGGUUUAGUGGUCCAAUUGCCCAUUGCUUCUUGUUUCCAUUCAUCUGUUCAUUAGCUAAUAUAUCAAUGUGAGUACCUUCUGUUAUCUGCAUGUGUUGUAGAGAUCUCCAACUGCAGUUUUCGCAAACUCAUAUUGAUGAGCAGAGAAAUUCAUGAUCUCAAAGGUGAAGCAAGGAUGGAAGCUCGUCAGGUAUUUCUGCUGCUGGUGGGACAGUUUUUCCCAGGGCUUCCCACAAGUAGGUGAAAACGGAAAAAGCAGUGCGCAGUGGAACCCAUAGGCUUCAGCAUUUGGGAUUGAAGUAGCAUCCCAAACAACAGAGGCUAUAAGAGGGUCAUGGAUGAUAAUCAUUCUUUUGGUUGUGGGAGAGAGUGCGCUGACGGGUUGGCGAAGGUGCAUAGAGGCUUCAAUGGAUGGCUGAAGGUGUGCAGAGCAUUUAUUGGAGGAGUUGGGGUUGGGAGGAGGAGAGACGAAAGGAGGCAUUGAGAAGUCAAGGAAAUGGAUUUUAGUAUUGUCCAUAGGAUUCAAGCCAUGAGCUCGAAGCUUGACCUGCCGAUUAUGUACGGCGGACCAUUUGUAGUGAACUUGGAUGUUAUAGGACGAGAUGAGGUGGGACAAUUGCAAGAACUGGUUGAGAUGACCUUGUGCUGGUAAAGGCAACAUGAUUACAACUACUGGAGCUCGUCUGCGGCCAUCUUGGUCAUGAUUUUGAUGAUGGUAAUGCUGCUCAGCUAUUGAUCAAACUUGGGAAGGUAUCUACUUCUUCACGGAAUAAGGAAAUAGGUUUUGGAUUUUGGUUGAAAUCCCAAAAUGUAUUGACCACUGACCAACUUGACUUUUAGUGUUGCCCCCAUUUCUUGUCUUGACAUUUUUGUCCCGUAAUAUGGUAUAAGCAUAUGACUCUUGUUCAUGAUAAUAUAUAUCAUUGAGUUUUGAAAACGAAAUUGCAUGGCUCUUGCAUCAUUAUUCAUAUCUACAUGGUGGAGAACUUUAGUUUUUUCGAUGCCUACGAAACCUUGAAUAAAUUUUGACAAGAACAGAGUAAGAGCAGAAGAACCCACGUGGCACUUAAGCUUUUGGGUAUUUUGAAAGGUUCAUGAAUCCACUGCAAAGAAUUGGGAAGUGCUAGGAAAGCUCUAAAUUAGCUUUUGAAUCUUUGUGGUGAUGUGUAUUUGGACGCAUAGUAGAUUAGGACCCCACUCUCACUGUGUCACCAGUGGCACAAAGAACCCACUGUGUAGAUUAAAUAUAUUAAUGCCUGGUCUUAAGGUGCUCAGGCUAUUAGUUAGCACUUAGCAGCACCUUCUCAAUACCACUUACCUAGUGGCAUAAAAUAUCUGUCAUCUGUACUCAGCACUAGACUUUAUGUCAAAGGCUUGUAUCCACAACUUUCCAUAUUUGGAAUUUUCAGGCAUCAGUAGGUCAUUCAGUUAGUAAGAAGAGAACUUGUGCAAGCCUCAUUAAUCAUCAAAUCAAGGAACAGAAGGCCCAUUUUGUUUUGUUAGGAGAAAGCUUGUUUUAAAUCCGAAUUGAUCGUCCAAGUGCUGUAGGAACCCUUCAUGCUGUCAAAUUAGGAGGGGUUCUGAGAACCUACAUUCGAAUAAAAUAAUAGGUUUUUUUGUUUUUUUUCCAACCUUAUUUUAGUCACACUAGAUUAGUAAUGAAAUUUUGACUUAUUCUGAAAAUAAUUUCCCUUUUUAUUAAUAGUGUCUUUUUCUUCAGCAUUUGGACCUGUAGCUAGGCUGAAGCGGACUUUCAAACCCCUUAGGCCGGCCCUCACCGUCAUCAUUCAAUAUUUAGGCUGAAAACAUUGUAUGCUGCAUUAGUUUAUUUUGGAGAAAUCCCGAGACAUCCUUGGCUUAAAAAGACAACAAAAGCUAAAAGAAUGGGUGAUGAAUUUGGAUGACAUCCUAAUGCAGGGGCACACACGCAAUCCACCAGGGCAAACCAAUCUAUCUAGUGAUGUGAGCAACGAAAGAAUCCAACUCCUUGCGGGAAACCCCCCCUUCAUCCAUUGACCUCUGUAUUGUGGCUCCCAAUUCUGCUGCCCUCUUCCUCAUGUCAUCUCCUUCCUUUGAUGCCAUUAAACUUCUGACCUUCUUUUCAACAGUAGAUGCUGCCACUAGCUGCUCUCUUUGGGCCCAGUCCCUAACAACCAAGCCAACUUUAAGCACUUGCGCUACAAGCACAGUGUUCCUUGGCUGAUCUGAGUGCAUAGGCCAUGCUGCUAUGGGCACUCCCAUGCUAAUGCUCUCCAGGCAUGAGUUCCAUCCACAGUGACUCAUGAACCCACCUGUUGAACUGUGCCCCAAUAUCUCCAGUUGGGGUGCCCAAUCUCUCACCACUAAUCCCAUCCCUCUUCCUCCCACUCUCUCUUCAUACCCUUCUGGAAGUUCUGCUCUCCUGACCUCUCCACUGAAAACAUCUCCUUUAUCCGCAUCUCUCAAUACCCAGAUGAACUUUUGUUUGCUUUGCUCCAACCCAAUUGCAAGCUCUUUGAUUUGUUCGUCUGUUAAUGACGUCGUGGUUCCAAAAGAAACCAAUAGGACCGACUUUGGAGCCUGUUUGUCUAGCCACCCCAAGCAUCUGUGUCCAGGAUUUGAUUUUUUGUCAUAGCAUAUAGUCAACGGGUUGAAUGGCCCUAACGCCCAGUGCUUCUUCUUUCCACCAUAGAUCUCUAGACCGUCCAGUAAAUCGACAUAACAACCCUCCAUUGAUUUGCAUGUGUUGUAGAUAUUCCCGGAAUUGAGCUUCUUGAACUGAUGUUGAGAGGCGAUAAAAUUAAGGAACUCCAACGGGAAACAGCCAUCAAGAGAUGGAACAUCUUCAAGAAAUUUAGCCUCCUUAAGGACAGGUUUCCCCGCAGCCUCCCAGAGAAACAAGAAAAUAGAGAAGGCGGAGACACUAUGGAAAGUGUAGGAUUCAGCAUUACGUAUAGAGGCAACAUCCUGAAUCACGGAACCCAUAAGGGAGUCAUGAAUAACGAUGAUCCUCCUAGCUCUCGGAGAAAGUUCACGUAGGAGUGCAGCAACAGGCUGGCGAAGCUGUGAGGAUGCCUCAAAAGAUGACUCCAGAUGGGCUGGGAAUUGAACAGAGGAGUUAGGAUUAGGAGGAGGAGAGUGAAAGUGAGGCGUGGGGAAAUGAUGAAAUUGAAAGUUGGGGUGGAGAAGAGGGUCCCAACCCUGAACUCGAAGCUUGGCUUGGUGGGUGUGGGUGACAGAACCUACAUAGUGAACAGAUACGUUGUAGGAAGAGAUGAGACGAGAGAGUUGUAGGAGUUGGUUGAGAUGACCUUGUGCUGGAAAUGGCACCAUCACUACAGCCACUGGGGCUUCUUUCAUCUCACUUUCUUCAUGGUUUUGGUGAUUAUCCAUUCCCAGACUCGCAGAGGCUUGUGGCUGUUGAAUCACUAUGAGGUUUGAUCUGCCUCUUGCCCAGCUUUUAUAAACAAAAAAACAAACUUCCCUUGGAGAUAAAGAUGAUACUAUUUUCAAUGGAAUUUUCUCCUGUAUGACAAAGCAGUUAAUGACAUGCCACCGAUUAGUCUCCCAAUUUUGUAUCUAAUUAAUCAUCUGGUUCAUCACAUGUCAUGUGAAUUGUUUUUAUUAUUUUGCAAACUUACUAUUCUUCCUCUUCAAUAUUAACAUAAUUAUUAAAUUAAAGUAAUUAAAUAAAUAUUGAGAUUCGAGAUCUUAAAGGUUUGACCAUGGUAGUAAAGGGUUAUUUUCACAAAAAAGAAGAAGAGAAAGGACUCAUUGUUUGGGAUCUUGUAAGUUGUCUUGUUAUUUUGUAUGUAUGUUAUGUUGUUUUGUAUCUUGAUAUUAAUAUUUUAUAUUUUGAUCUCCUAAUUGGAUUGGGAAAUGGUCUAAAAUUUUCCUUAUCUUGUAGCAAAAUGAAAGCAGAGCUAUCCGUCCACCUUUCAUUUUUGUUCAUUUGGUAAGUAUAUAAUAUUUAUUUGGAUUUAGAAAUGGUAUAAUAAUCUUCAAAAUACCUAUUAUGGUGGGAAAAUUUCCUUGUAUAAUGUUAUAUACCAAAAAAUGAACGUCAAACCAUUUUAAAAUAGGUGAUUCCCAAUCAAGCCAAUCCAAUCUGCUUUCAAAAACCGAGGACAUGACAAAUCACUACCUCCCAAUUUGUUUUAUGCCACAUGUUGCCUAGUUUCUCUUUUCCCAAUCACACUUCCAUGAUAUCCCCCGUUAAGCCCAGUGGGUACGUUUCGUAAUAUAUAUAUGAAAAAAAUGAUCUAAAAAUUAGGAACCCAAAUACCCAUUUGGCCUUUCAAAAUACUGUUAGCAUUUUCUUAGUUACUCAAGGAAAGAAAGACGAAAACCCAAAAAAAAAAAAAAGGGGGGGGGGGGGGGGAAGGGGAAAAGAACCGCUUUAUGGUUCGACUUGUUUGGGACCUUUGAAAAGGGACUAAACCUUGUUAUUUGUAGCAGGCUACCGGCCACUCACACAUACACCACAAACUGAAGAUGAAAUAAUCAAAGAUAUUCACAAAUUUGGGUUUUGAUUGCAUGGGUUUAAGAUUUGAUGGAAACUGCUGAAUAGAUUGGUGCUUUCACAAUUAUUGUGUGGGUGAGUUUUUAUUUAUUUAAUAUCAAGUCCAUGUGCCCAUGUGGCCAUCUUAUCUGAUUCAGUAGGCAUAUAAAAAAAACCCAAAAUAUUUCAGUUUACCAUCUCUGGUAUCUUUGUUAGCAUUUUUGUUUUAAUCGCUUUUUCGGGUCAUAUCCAUUCAGGAUGGUUUAUUUGGCAUCUAUAUUCACUUUGCUAGCAUCUUUGUUUUAAUCACUUUUGGGUAAUAUCCAUUCAUUCAGGAUAGGUGUUAGCAUUUUUGUUUUAAUCACUUUUGGGUCAUAUCCAUUCAGUUUUUUCCUUCCUGUAAUAUUUUUUAUUUAUUUAUCAUUUUUGUAUUUUUUUUAACUAUUGUGUUAGUAAUGAAUGAUAAAAAUGAUGUUAUUAGCAAAUUUAUGUAAUUCUUGUAAUGGUAAGAGUUUUUUUCUUUUCUUUCUAUUAUAUUAAAAAGGAAACAUUGGAUGAGAAUGAGUCAUGGAGAAAGAUAAUGAAAUUUGAAAAUAGAGUUGUAUAUCUAAAAGACUUAAAAAUUGGUAAAUUGGUUAGGUGAGAUACUGAAAUGAAAAUGGAGGAAAAGCGAAGAGGGAAGGGCCCAAAGAAAGACUGGACCACCAUGUGUUGUCCAAGGAAAGGAGUGCUCAGGAGAUAAGUAGCAGCCAGCUCUGCCAGUUAUUCACUGCCCCACAAAUGCCAUGAAGUCUUUGGACAGUGACACAGUGUCCUCCCCUUUCCACACAAUUGACAUUCCAGUAAUCAGUCACCACCAAAAUUCCCUUUCUUUUUCUUUUUAAUUUCCUGAAUCUUGCUUCUUCUUUUCCCCCUCUCUGUCUUGCCUUGGAAUGAUAGAAAUUCCUACUCGUCCACUUAAUAAAUAGAGUCCCAAUGCACAUGAAGCCAAGUGCCUGGUUAACCUAAUCACCCACCAAAGCAACCAUUGUGAUUCACUUUAAAGCUUCACGCCUUCAACCUCUCCUCACAAUCAAAGACUAUCCACUUUGAAAAUAAUUUUCUAAUUCACCUGUUAUGUUUCCUUUUUAAGCAAUUUGUACUGCAAUUAUAUUGGUUUUUGAAAUAAAUUAAGUGUUUUUUUUAUAUUUUAUAAAAUAUUCUAAGUAAUUACUGAAAAUACAAAGAAUGUUUUUAAAACUUUUGCAUUAUAUGUAUGUAUACGAGUAUAAGGGCUUCUAAAAGACCCUGGUGAUUUUCUUUGCUGAUAAAUUUUUUAUUUAUUUUUAUAAUACUUUAUAAUAACUAAAAACAUCUUAAAUUUAUUUUAUCAAAAAAUUAUUGUGAAUAAAAAAUUUGUCAAACUUGUAUGCUAAAUUAGAAAUUAUUAUUUUUUCAUUAAAGAAUAAAAAAAAUAUUCUAAAAAUAACUAUCAAAUAGAUCAUGGAGAAUAAAUGAUAGGUUUGAAAUCAAUAAAUUUUGUUAGGUUUUUUUUUUAAUUUAUUUUUUCUAUAUAUAUAUAUAUAUAUAUAUACAUUGUAUUUUUUGUGGUAAAGAAAUUAAAAAGAAAUUGGUGAGAAAUUUUCAGGAAAAGAGAAGAUAAAUGAGUAAAUGAAAAAGAAGUAAAUCCAAACAGUUGACAUCAAGGUAGGAAUGGGGGGGAAGAAUCCUUGACUUGUAAAGCACGUUAGGAGAGCAGGCAAAGUGGGUUUACAGAUCACAUGCUCAUUGUCCAUUGUCUCCUCUUUGCCAUUUCUUGAACUCGUCCCUUUAACAUCCCAUCUUCCUUUUUCAUUUCUCUAAUCAAGGAAGGAGGAUAUUCUGAGCCUUCAGUCAUCAUUGGAAAGUGGAAACUACUUUUUAAAAUAUUUUUUUGUUUUUUUUUUUUAAAAAAAGAAAACAUAUUUCACAAUAACAAAAUAAAAAACACUUUUAUACUUUUUGGCUAAUAUUUUUAAUUAUUUUCACUUUUUUUUAAGCUUUAAAAAAUAACUAUAAAACUAGGAAGAAUAAUUAAAAUUAAAGUUUUAAAAUAAAAUUAUUUUUAAAAUAUAUUAAAAAAUCAUAAGAAGUAGUUAACAACAUCUCAAAUUAAUUUUUAUUUUACAAAACAUCAAUUAAUAGUUUUUAAAAAUUAUUUUUUAAAAUAUUUUUCAAAUGUGAAUGUGUUUGAAAAUAAUUAUUAUCAAUUUAAAAAAAAAUAAAAGUCUAUUUAAAAAUUCAAAUUUUAAAAUUAAUUUUUUAGAUUUAUUUUUUUCAUAAAAAUAUUAUAUAUUUAUAUAUUACAUAAAAGUUUUAAAAUAUUAUUUACUUAAAAUACUUCAAAAAUAAAUUAAAAAAUUUAAAUUUAUUAUAAAAAUUAUUAUUUUUCAGAAUAAUUUUUUUUUAAAAAAGUUGUGUUAUAUUUAAAAAAAACAAAAAAUUAUUUUCAAUAAUACUUUUCAAACACCCUACAUCUUAGAGGUAGUUGUUGAAAUGGGAGCAAACCCAUCAUUCAAUGGGUGAUGGUGGAGGAAGAAGAUUUACUAUAAAAAUAAGUAAAAAUUGUCUCCAUCUUGGUUUAGAGUCGGUGUUUCCUACUGGGCUGAGAGUGAGACCCACCAGUGAUGUGCUGUGUCGCCUAGUCCUGGAUUUGGGACAGGCCUAGCGAUAGUACAAAUGAGUUGUGUGUCUCAGUGCAUUUAAGUCAAAUGAUUGAUACCUUUCUUCAUUUUAUGCCAACUUAUCCAACAAAAGAUUCCAACCUUCACUUUCAGGCCACCCAACCACAAUAUCCAAACUAGAAGAGUACAAAUAAUGACACGUGGCAUCAUCUCAUUUGUGGUAUCUUUUAUUUGUAAUAAUCAAUAACUUAUAUCAUUCUACUUUUGAUAAAUUAAGACCUUUUCAAAAUAUAACUUGUUUUCAAAAUAAUUUUUUUAGAAACCUAUUUUUAAUUUAAAAAAAUGGUCAAAAACAUGCUUUUUGAAUUAGAAAACUGUUUUUAAAAGAAUAAUAAGAGAGAACUUAUAUGAACCACACUCGUAAAAAAUUAAAGGUUUAUUUCACAACAUUUUCAAAAAUAAUUUGUAAAAUUUAUUUUUUAAAAUAAUUAGAAAUAAAGUUUUUAGCAUAAAGAUUAGAUUUUUCAAACAUAUCCAUGAUGAAAAUACAUGUAAAUAGUUUUAGUAUUAAUAUUUUCUUUUAAAAAUAAAUUCCUUCUACAGCCUUAAGGGUGAUCCAUUAGGAACCCCGAAAAAUGUAUUUUCACUGCCUUGUUUUCUCUUUCUAUUAGGCUUCCCAUGGCUCCAAAAGUUGAAGUUUCUCUCCAUCUCCAGCCGUCAAAAGAGUUGAGGUUGUUGGAAAAAACCUCAACUUCAACAUUAAUGAUGAGUGAAAAAAGUUAAAUAAAAAAUAUAAGGAAGUAUUUGACAAGACAAAAUUUCAAGUCAAUAAUGAUGAGAUAUAUUUAACCUAAAUAUAAAUCAAAAUUUUUCUUUUUUAAUUUCCUUUGUUAUAUAUUAUAUAAGAAAAAAAUAAUUUUGUUAUGUAUUCUAUUUAUCAGCCAUUGAUGUAGAAAAUCAUUUUAUAAAAAGUGCUUCUACCCUGUUCAAAUCACUUUAAAAGUAGGUUACUGCCCACAGAGGAUGGUGGUGAAAUUAAGACCAAAAGUCAGUUGAUCCCAUUUCUGAACUCUAUGUUCUUACUUCUUUAGAAGUAGCAUAUUAAUAAUCAGAUACUUGUAAAACAUCUACUUAUUUUAGAGAAAUUCUUAGGCCUCCUUGCCUAAUACAGGGUGAGAGUUGAUCACAUUGUAAAAUGCCGCCAUCAGAAGCCAAGCUGUCUAGUGAUGUGAGCAAUGAAACCAUCCAACUCCUUGCGAGAAACCCCACCCUCUUCCAUUGACCUCUGUAGGGAGUUCCCUAGUUGUUGUGCUUUCUUCCUCAUAGCGUUUCCUUCCUCUGAUGCCAUGAGCCUUCUCACUGCCUUUUCAAUGGCAGAUGCUGCCACCAGCUGCUCCCUCUCUGCCCACUCCUUAACAGCCAGACCAACUUGGAGUACUUGUGUCACCAGAGCAGCGUUUCUUGGCUGAUCCGAGUGCAUGGGCCAUGCUGCUAUGGGCACUCCCAUGCUGAUGCUCUCCAGGCAUGAGUUCCAUCCACAAUGGCACAUCAAUCCACCCGUGGAGCUGUGCCCCAGUAUCUCCAGUUGGGGCGCCCACUCUCUCACCACCACCCCCAUUCCUGUCUCCUUCAUUCUCUCUUCAUACCCUUCUGGAAGUUCACUUCUCCUGACUUCUUCGCUGAAAAUAUCUCCUUUAUCCGCAUCUCUCAAUAACCAGAUGAACUUGUGCCCACUGCGCUCCAACCCAAUCGCCAGCUCCUUGAUCUGUUCAUCUGUCAGUGAAGUUGAGGUUCCAAAAGAAACCAAUAGGACAGACUUUGGAGCCUGUUUGUCAAGCCAUUCCAAGCAUUUGUCCCCAGGAUUUGAUGUUUUGUCACUGUAUGUGGUCACCAGGUUGAGUGGCCCUAAUGCCCAUCCCUUCUUUUUCACACCAUCAAUCUCCUCUUCCCGAAGUAUAUCCACAUAGGGGCCCUCUAUCAACUUGGAUGUGUAGUAGAGGUUCCCAGAGCUGAGCUUCUUAAACUCAUGCUGGAAAACCAAAAAUUUGAAGAACUCCAAUGUGAAGCAGCCGUCCAGAGAUGGAACAUCCUCUGGAAUUUUGACCCCCUCCAGCGCAGGUCUUCCCAGACUUUCCCAGAAGAAGAAGAAAAUGGAGAAAACGGAGACACUGUGAAAAGUGUAGGACUCAGCAUUACCAAUACCCACAAAAUCCUGAACCACAGAACCCAUGAGGGAGUCAUUAAUCACAAUGAGCCUGUCAACUGUAAGAGAAAGCUCACGUAGAAGCGCAGCAACAGGCUCACGAAGCUCUGAAGAUGCCUCAAAACAUGGCUGCAGAUGAGCAGGAAAUUGCACAGAGGCAUCAGGAUCAGGAGGAGGAGAGUGAAAGUGAGGAGUUGGGAAGUCAUGAAAAUGAAAAUUAGGCUCCAGAAGAGGGUCCCAACCCUGGAGUCUGAGCUUGGCUUGGUUGAUGUGGGUGGCAGAGCCCACAUAGUGGACUGGUAUGUUGUAGGAAGAGAUGAUGCGAGAGAGUUGCAGAAGUUGGUUUAGAUGGCCUUGCGCUGGAAAUGGCACCAUCACCACAGCCACAUGGGGGGCUUCUUUCACCCCAUUUUCCUCAUGGUUUUGCUGAUUUUGAUCUUCACCCAUUGUAAACUUGUAUAUGAUUAUUGCAAUGAAGCCUGAGCUUUUCAUAUAUAAGAAAAGAAAAUAAGGGUUGCAUUGGAGACAAGAGGAUACAUAACAUUUCCAUUGAUGCUCUUUUCCCCUUAGAUAAAUUAAGCAUUUAAUGAUUUGCCAACAGACUUUCUAUAUAUAUAUAUAUAUUUAUAUAUAUAUCAUUUAGUUUUUAAUUGAAUCAAAUUUUCAUACUCAUCUCAUGUUGUCAUUAGACAAAGUCUCGAAACUUCAACCCUCUCUCCUUUUUAACAUCAAAAUAAAUAGGAAGGGACAGUGUGUGAGCUCUUUCAUUUGGAAACAGCAAUGAAUGCCAUCCCCCUUUUACCUUUUCAUUUUUGUUGAUUUCAUAAAAUGGAAAAUAUAUAUAAAAUAGGAUACUGGCUUUAAAAUGUUGAAAAUUAUUAGUGUUUUACCCUACAAUCCAAACACUCCUAAGAAAAAUCAUUAAAUAUUUGGCCUUUAUAAUCCAUGUUUUUUUAAUACUGCAUUGUAUAAUUAAAAAAUGAUUUUUCGAGGAAUUAGUUGUAAUUUUAUUGUUUCAAAUUCACUUGGAAUAUUUUUUUUUAAUCUUAAAAGUGAUUUUUAAAGGUUUGAUAAAUUAAUAUCAUAUUUCUACAAGAAAUUGUUUUUAAUUAUUACAAGGCAUUUUUAAUCCCUUCAAAAUCAUUGUUUUUUCAACUUGAUAAAUUAAACCUGGUAAAACUUCUAUCAUUAAUCCAAUUGGGUGCCUUUGAAAAUGAUAGUAGAAACCGAUCUCAAAGAUCCACUUGACCUUUGAAAAAAAUAUAGGAUUUUUUUUUUUAGACAGGAAAACAAGGAGAAAAGAAGUGAUAUAUAAUUCAAUAGUAUUUUAAUUAAAAAUAUUUUAAAUAGAAACACCGUCAAACAGUAUAAUAUUAAGGUUAAUCCAUGAGUAAAAUCAAACAUUUGAUGAGCGUCAAGAUUGUAUAGGAAGAGAAGUUCCCAACUUUUAUAAAGAAUCGUGUAGACAUCAGGAAAGCUGUAAAUCUAAAAUAGGCAAUAUAGACGAUGUAGUUUGAGUGUGUGACGUGUGGGGGACAAACUGGGGCCCAACCACAACAUCAUUUCCAAGUGUUGACUAAGAACGACAGUCAGUAGCUUUGUCACAUGGUUGAUGAGAUAAGUAGCAGCAAGCUUUGCCACUUCCAAAAUAUUUCUUUUCUUGUCCACUCCAUGCAAUCUAACAUGAACAAAUGGGAGAGUGGCACACUCUUCUCCCAUUUCCAGUAGGCAUUCCCCGACCUUGACACCUGUGGAAUGACAAGAUUGCCAUGUCUGAAGAGACCAAGGCACUGUGGGAGCACUAAUGACACUCAACAUCAAGGAAGGUUACAAAACAAAAGAGGGCGUGCAGCUUCCACUUGAGCAAGUGUAGGGACGCCCAAAAUGGGCCAUGACCGAACUGGCCUAAUCCGAGCCAUACAAUUGCUCCUUUCUCAAAAACACGUAUCAUCAGAAAAGAGUAGAUCAUAAUAACUUGUUCCUCAAACAACCAAGUAGGUGUCAAGAUAAUGGCCGAUCUCUCUUCUUAGCUUGGGACUUCCACCCUGGGCCCACCGCCCACUGCAUCCAAAGGUUGUGUCAGGCGUGGAUGAAAAUGCCUGGAUAUUUUGUCGAAAUAUCGAUAGAGGUGGACACGCCGAUUAUCCGUUUGGAAAAAUUGGUAAAAUCAUCUAAAUAUUGUCGAUUUAUUGAUUUAUCGAUGAUUUCUCGACGCAACAUGUGCAUGUGGAAGGAAGAAAAUAGGUGAUUAAUCGCCAAGAAACCAGGCGAUUUAUCAGUGAUUUUUCAAAAAAGCCCAUUUUAAAACAAAUUUAUCCUAAUUUUUUUAAUUUAUAUUUUAUUUUAAAUUUAUAUUACCCUUUGUUUAUUUAUUUUUUAUUAUUUUUCAUAUUUAUUUCAUUAAUCCUAUUUUAAAAAAUUACCAUCACUUAACUUUUAUUUUUUUAUAUUUAUCCUUUUAAUUUUAUUCAAUUUUAAAUGUUUUUAUUUUAAAAUAUUAAAAAUAUAAAUUUAUUACAAAUUUGCUCAAAUAUAAAAAAUAAUAAUAAUAAAGUUCCAAUAUUUUAUAAAUUAAAAUUAAUUUGAUAAGAUAAAUUAUUAAUAUUAUUUUUAAUAAUUUUAAUUAUUUAAAUUAAUUAAUGUUUAUAGAAAAAAAUUAUCACUAUAAAUUUAUAAUAAAACUUUAAAAAUUAAAUCCCAAAUAGAAUAUUUUAUAUAAAUCGAUUUAAUUUUAUAUUUAAAAUGUAAUAAAAACAUGUUUUAAUAAAAGUAGUUUUUAAUUUUUAAAAUAAAUGAAUAUAAAUGUAUUAAAAGAAUUUAAACUAAUUUUUUCUGGAAAAAAUUUUUUUUGAUAAACACUAUCUUUCAAUGUACCUAUGUCAAUUACCAAAAUAACUUUAAUAUGUAUAUUUUUAUUUAUUUUAUGAUAGUGUUCUACUCAAACAUAUAUCCUUUUGGAUAUAAUAUAGGUACCAAUAUAUCCAUGUUUACUAAACACUUGGUGCCAGGACUAGUUUCCAAUUUCCGGGAAGCCAAACAAUGAUAUAAGUUUUGGGCCAGGUCUAAUGGCUGGGUAUAAAGAAAAGAUGGAGUUAGCAGCCCAAUAGCCAGCCCAUGGAGUGAGGGAUGCUCAGUUUCAAUGUGUUUGAUAGGGUUAUCCAACAUCAUGAGAUUUUGAUUAUGUUGCAGAAGAGUCCAAAAAUUUAAAAAUGGGAAAUGAAAAUUCACUGCUUCAAUUAUGAUGAAGUCCAUUCGCAGGCGUCUAAUAUCACCCCUUCUGAAAUUUUGGAGAAGACAAAAGGCAUAUUAACAUGGACGAAAGUUUGAGUAAACUGGAUAUUUUUUACAGGACCUUUUCCUCAGGGACCAACGGUUUUCCAUGUCCUACCAUGUUGAUAAUGUUCUCAAAGCAAACAUCAUAUUUUGUACACCUUAAAGUUCAUCCAGAUUGUCUACGGUAGAACAGGAAGUUCCACUCUGUUGAAGGAGAAGAAACUGACCCGUCCAUGCGAUACAUGGAAAAACUUGAAAGGUAUGCUACCACACCGUCUCUCAAGGUCUUCAAUCUCUGUUUUCAAUGGCGGAUGACCCCUAUGUCAGAAAACAAAACAGUUCAGUUUUUAGAACAUGUCAACAAUAAGCAACCAAAAGCAUACAAGGGAGAAGAAAUGAAGCAUUAGAAAAUGAAAAGACUGAAUUCUAAUGACCAUUAAAUGAUAGUUAUGGCCUAAUCCAGAGGUGUUUUCUUCAAGAGCAAACACUUCUUUUUAGUUAUAAACCAAAAGAAUGGUAACAUUCCAAAUUUCCCCAUUUUAACAGAGCUAAAGAUGUUAUAAAAUGUCAGCGAACAAGCCUAUGGUGCUCCAGAGAAGUCAUAAUCAACAUAAGAGCACAAAACGAGCAGUAAAGCAUAGCACAACCUUAGGCAUGAAGAUUUUUUUUUUUAUAUAUAAAAAAAGUUAUUUGGUUGAUUAUUAUUAUGCAACAGCCCCUGCUUCUUUCAGACUACUUUAACCUAUCAAAAUAUUAACCAAACAGGGCAGUCCAGGUGACACCAAUACGAGUUCUGUGUAACUAACUAGGACCAUAAUUGAUCUUUUCUUUCCUACAUCUCCCAAAUCUUGGAAAACAGAAUUUGAAACUACUGAGUGAAGAUUUGUCAUUUCCAAGUUUUCACCGCUUUUGCUAUGCAAAUAAUUUCUGUGAAAUAGAGGGAAAGCAUAGCAAGAAUCUUGCUUCAAAUACAAACAUUUAGCAUAAGGAGCAUGCUUCUCUUCAUGCUGGAAGAAUUCAUCACCCCUUAAAAGAUUUUAAUGAUGGGAACUGUCCCCUUGCAAAUUUUUAAGAACAUUUCCACAAAAUUAAUGGAAAUGACAUUUUAAUAAAGAAACAUGGAUAUGAAUAUCCAAUUAAUCACCACUCAAAUAGCCCACUAAAAAUAAUUUCCUUAUAGGAAGUAGUAAACCUUCAGUAAUACUAGGAGUUAAAAUGUACUUUGAUGUAUCACAACUAUGAAAAGCUAUGACAAGCAUGACUUCCACUUCCAAUAAAAUUCAGCAUUUAUAGAUAUCUUGACAUAUAAUUUUGUCUUAAACCACACAACAUUUGGGAAAAAAACUCUACGCAUUUGUCAAGAACACAACUUAAACAUGCCUCCUGAGAAAAAAACAUCAUAGCUACAUCUAACAUAAGCGAAAAUUUGAACAUAACCUAGCAAAAAAUGUUUGUCACAGAAAACUUAAUGAAAUACGGUUUACCUGGUUAAGCAGAGCACAAAACUUGGAUCUCCUGGAGAAGACUUCCUAAACUUGCUAUUAGGAAGAUAGACAUCAAAAAGCAGUUUAACUUCAGUAAUGUGCAUAUUAUUGACCAGUUCUAUGGUGGAAUUUUCUUCUUCUGAUCCUUCAUCUGUUCUACUGUUGCCUUCCGGGGUGCCUUGAUGGGAAUCCAAACAAGUUUUGGCACCCUUCGAAGUCCAAGGGAUCCCAUGCCGCCCAACAAUGUAACCAAGAGACUUCAAGUGCCUAUAAGCCUCAAAAGACUCCCAACAACAUCCACACUUCCCUUGUGAAACCUUAUCAUAUAUACCUUUUAAGGAAAUAGGCACAUCAUUAUCAUCCAAUAGAUGCAAUGCCCCUAGUUCAGCCAAAAACCUACACAAAAAGCUUUAGACACAUUACUAACAAAAAAGGGUAUAACUAACAAGUACUUCUUAGUCUUCUCCCCAAAGAUCACACAUGUGAAUAAUUUGUUGUAUGCCUAUAGAAAAAUUUAGUUCUCCUUAAAAACUACAUGAAAGGUUAAAAUCAAUGUCUUUUUUUUUAUUGUAUAUUUCUCGAAUACUACUACGUAAGAAAGAUACAAUCAAAAGUUGACUUUAAGUUAAAUUAUACUUAAGUUGUUAACUUAAAACUUACUAUUUAAUUUUACUUUUAAGUAUUAAAAUUGUUUGAUAAAAUUAACUUAAGAUUUAUUCUAAAUCAUCAAAUUAACAUAUUUAUCUUCAUAAAUUAUAACUAGUGCAAAGGAGCUCGAGUAAUAAUGGAGGUGGUGGAAUAGUAAAUGAGAUCAUAGAGUUAACCAAGGCAAAUAGGGGUAAAAGAGUAAAAUGAAAAUGUGGAGUUGAGAAUAAGUUAAUUGUUUUUACUUAUUACUUAAAGUUGUUUUUUACUUUAAUUCAUACCAUUAAGUUAUUUUACCAAACAUACUUAGUUUACUUAUUAACUUAAAUUAAGUUAUUAAGUUAAUUAGUUUAAGUUAUUAAGUUGGUUUACCAAACACCCACUUAGUCAAAGACUUUUUGUUAGGCUAUAGACUUUGGAGGCUAGACAAAGUAAGAAGGUUUGGUGUUCAACUCCCCUUUGCUUGUUUUGGCACAUUUUGAGAGAGCAAAACAAUCAUGUUUUUAAUAGGGAAGAGAUUUCAAAUUAAAAUUUAAAGGAGUUUCUAGUUAUGUUCCUUUGAGAAUGGUCUCUUUAGCUAUGAAAAUUUUACAUUGAUGAAAUUCAUUAACAAUGUUAACUGUAUAUGGUUAGGUCACUUGGUUUUCCCUUUUUUUUUGGUGCCCCUGUGUAUAACCCCUUGUGUACAUGGGAUGUGACUCCUUGUUUGUCGCCUUUAAUCAGAUUCUGCUUGUCUGUCAAAAAAAUACUUCUUAAGUACUAAUAGGUUCAACUCCAACACAUUCUGGAAUAAACUUCAAGUUUUGCUGAAACCGGCUAAUUUAGACAACAUAAUAAAUGGAAAUUUUGCUAAGUUAAAUUUUUUUUUUUUGAUAGGUGAAAUUUUGCUAAGUUAAAUUACGCAUUGCUUAGUGUUUACGUUACUCCUUUGCUUACUCUUUCUGUUGCUUUUCUUUUUCCUCUGUCAAGGCACCAAAGAAAAUUGGGGUGCAAAACAACAAAAUUACAAAGAAAAUAGAACCAUUUUCAGCUCUCAUUGUGCGUUAAAAAGGAAUUACAUGAGAUAUAAAUAUUAGCAAUCUUGUAAGUAAUUAUAUCAUACUCAAAAUAUUAGCAAUCGUUCACAAUGUUUAAUGUGUCUAAUGGUGACUAUUUGACCAACUUUAAAUCCAUCAAUAAAUCCUCCACUUGACCAUCCUUUACAUGGUAGCACAACAAUAUAGUCAUAAGUCUAAAACUGUGGUUGCACAGCUGUCUAGGCCAUCUAAGGUUUUUUUUCUAGCUCCUAUAUGGAAGACUCACAAUAGCAUCCUUUUCAUAAAGGUAAACAUAUUAAAUCAAAAGCUCGCUCAAUUACUCAUAUUGGGUUUGUGGAAGUUGCAUUAUCACAUGUCAAGUGAUAUAAAGAAUGGCAAAGGAACAAACAAUAAAAAAAAUUAUGAGAAAACAACAAUUAAAAUCAAAGUCUGCAAAUCUCAUACAGAGUCUCCUCAAUUGAGCAAUAGAUCUUGCCGCUAUGAAGCAUUCCUGUUGUUGUCCACAUUUUGCCCUUCAUUUCUACAACCUCAGCCAUUCUCAUUGCAUCAUUCCAAAUUGCCUUGGAAACAUCUUUCCUGAGAAAAAUACACACAAUUAGGUUGUAAAGUGCCCAUUUUGAAACUUGAUGGGAGUUAUUGUUCUAAAAAUCUACCUAAAUUGUAACUUGGAUAUGGAACUAGAAGUAUAGUAAUGUUCUUCUUCAUCAUUGGCAUCUUGAAGAUAGAUUUCAGAAUCACUAGCUCCAUCCUCCAUUAUAUCAAUUGCUGAUAAAAAUCACAGUUCAAUUUUAGAAAUCCAGUUGUCUAAACAAGCAACAAGAAAAAGAAAGGAAAAUAAAAAACAAUAUAAGAAGUCACUGCACCAAUAGUUUUGGUCAAACUUGCAGAAUUUUAAUAUUGAAAAACUUUUUCUUUAAAAAGAAAACAGAAAAAGAAAUGAGAAAAGAUUCUGUACCCUUGUUCUGCAUGAGUAGUGACACACUUUUCUUCUUUCUCCUCCAAUAAGGAUUAAAGCUUUGCAUUGAAUUGAAAUUCUUCCAAAUGAGCAGUUGUCUUGUCAUUGUGACUUAUAACUUCAUCAUCAAACCUAUCUAUGACUCAUCCAACGAUGGGCUUGUGUGUUAAUCUGAUACUCCAUCAAAUCUUUUAAUCUCCAUGUCACCAAAUUUUUUAAUUUUACUUCCUUAUCCAGAGAUGAUUUCUAAGUUCCCACUCAAGCUUCUUCUAUUCCACUUCAGAGAUUAUUUGUAAAAUAAAAAUAUUAUUCUAAAAAAUUUUUAAUGCAAGAUAUUGGAUUAUUCUUUCCUGUGCCAAUAAUCUCAUCAUGUAUAAUAUAUAAUAACACUAAUUUACCUUUUUUUCUGCAACCAAUCCCAUUUACUAGAAGAUAUGAUAACUCAAUCUCAAAGAUGGGAAAGUUCACAAAUAAUGACACUUAUUCACUUUAAUUUAUCAUUUUAAAAUUCUAAAAUAUAUAAUUUUACUUCCUCGUACCCCUCAUUUUAAAGAAUAGUAUAGGAAUGAAUCAUAAAUCCUUGUAUCAUUCCACAUAUCGUCUGAGAAAAAAGAGAGGCACAAAUGAUGAACAUGUUCCCAAGACCCUCUAAGCCAAAUCCAAAAUUGCAUUCCUUAUCAUCACUUUGCCCUUCUCCCAAUGAUACAAUGAUCUAGUGGAUCGUACCUCAAUUGAUCCUCUCCAUAGAAAAACAGCCUUAGCCGACUCUAAAUCAUCUCUUGCAAGAAGUUCAAAUAUCACAACCAUCUUUAUCAUCGUACGACUUACUAGAAAGGUAAAUCUUGAAAAACAGAAACUAUUGAAAUCCCAUACCUCCAGAUUUGGCUGAGAGUUGCGUUUGCUGCAUGCGCCGCACUGACUGCAAUUCGCUUGAAAAAACCCUAAUUGAAGAAUUUAUGAAAGGGACGACAGGAGAAGUGGGUCAUGUGAAAUGAACCGUAUCUACUGAAUGGCGCCCCAAUAGGCUUGGCCCAAUACUCAAUGGUUUCGGCCUGAUAAGGUUAAAAAGCAGGUUAUGUUUGUUUGGUUAUUUUUAUAUUGAAUUUAUGAUUCUAUUUACAUAAUACCUUUUAAUCUAUUUCCUUUCCUUAAGAAGUUGUAAAGAUUUUGUGUAUUUUAUGAUCUAAGAAAUUAUCUUUUACUACUUUUUAAUGAUAUGGAUAUUAUUUUUAUUAUUAUAAGUCAUAUUUUAUAUCAUCUUCCAUAUUAUCUUUGAGUGUGAAAUUUGAAUUAUUUUUAAGGUAUUUGUUUGGUUCCAUAUUAUCUCCCAAACUAAUUUCUUUCGAACCGAGGAAGUGGUGUGACCGGGCCCAAAGGAAAAGUGAGGCAAUUGGGCCAUGAUUCAUGAAAGAAGAAUUCAAAAAUAGAAAGUUGGGUAAUGAAUGCAAAGACUGGACCAGCCAAAGUGAACUACUCCACUAGUCUGCAAAAGCCACGUAAGGAUAAGAAUGGAGGACUUCUUUUAAUGGGGGAAUCACGUUACCAUACGCAACCCCAAAAAAUUUGAGCUUUUCAAACUUUGUUUUCUGACUUUUUAAUUUAAGUGUAGAAUGAAAAACCAAAUUACAAUUUUAUACACUCAAACAAUAACUCUAAAUUUCUUUACAAAAUUACCCUGCCGCCUCGUCCACCACACCAAAAUCUGUUGAAACCUCACCGGCGUCUUCUUUACAAUUCAUCAAUUUAAUAAAGAAAGGCUGAUUUGCAUUCCAAGCGCUUUCAAAAAACACAAAAGUUCAAUAACAAGCAAUAACAUCACGUUAUAUUCUAAGUAAUCACAUAUUCAGUCAAUUUAAUUUAAUACAAUCUCAACACAACGAGUAAAAGACAAUGUUCAAUCAUAAACUUUAAUUUAAAUAAAUGGUGAAGAAAAUGUUCAAUGUAUUUUAUAGACAGGAGAAAUAAACACAGUUUUGAAGGACUAAAGAACUACUUACUCUUAGUAGCAAAGGGAUGUGUCAAAUGUUUGGAACAUCAUAGAGAGUUAUGAUGUUUUCUGCCUGAAAAUAAGUGAUUUAAUUUAGUUAUCUAGCAUUAAAAAAUUAGUAACAAACUAUUUGGAAAAAACCAAUACGAAGAUCAGCAUCUUGAUUAUGGUACCGACACAUGACAAAAUUGAGAAAGUUUGGCACAUCAGUCGCCACCGGUGAGAGGCAGCAAGAGCAGUGGGUCGCUGGUAGUGGUGGCGGUGGUGUUGUGGAAAGGGAAGGAAAGAGAGAGAAAAAGAGGGAAGGAAAUGGAGAGAGGGGAGAUUGCCGACCGGAGAGAGGUGUGAAUGACGGCCAGUUGCAGUGGAGAGGGAGGGAGAAGCAGAUGGUGGGUAUGGGAGAAAAAACAAAAGGAUAAUUUUGGAAAUUCACUAUUUGAGUGUAUGAAAGGGGUUAUUUCUUUUCUAUCUUACACUUAAAUUGAAAAGUCAAAAAAAAAUUUGGGAUUGGUUUAUGGUAACAUGAUUUUCCUUUUUUUAAUUUUUUUGUCUCCUUCACAGCUUACAAAGGGAAUCAUUUCACGUGGCCCUCCUCUAAAGUCUCACUCGCUCUGUAAUAAAUUCCAAGAAGAUUAGGGUUUCAUGGAAAUAUCUCAAGCGAAUCAGGCUCAGUGUGGCCGAUGCAGCAAACUCUCAAAUCUCUAUAUCCGGAGGUAUGGAAUCUCAAAACUCCUGUUUUUUGAGCUUUAGUUCUGGAUUAUGUCAUGUGAUGCUUAAGAUGGCUGUGAGAUUUGAACGACUUGUAACUCAAGGAGAUGAUGCAGAGUUGGGUAAGGCUGCUUUUCUGUUGGGAGGAGGGCAAGAUAACGAUACCGAACGUGAGUUAUGAUUGUUAAUUGGCUUAGGAGGUCUUGGGAAUAUAUGUUUUUUCCGUGCAUCUCUUUUUUCUUAGAUGAUGUAUGGAAUGAAAUUAGGGUUUAUAUUUCCUUCCAUCGUUAUUAGGUUAAAAGAAGGGCACAAGGAAGUAAAAUUAUAUUUUUUAAAGUUUUAAAAUGAUAAAAACGAACAAAAAAGUUUUUCUUUUAACGAAAUUUUUCUACUUUAAAAUUAAGUUACUAUAUCUUUUAGCAAAUGCGGGUAAUGACAGAUAAAAGAUUGUUUGUCUUAGAUGAUGUAUGGAAUAUAUUUCAUCCUAUCGGCACAAGGAAGUAAAAUUAAGAUAGAACAAUGAGUGAUAAAGUUAUCAGGAGAAGAAUGGAAGAUAGAUUUGUUUGAGUUAGGAACAUAAACAUGGAUUUGCUCGAAUUGUUUGUGAUAAUGAGAAGACAGUGAAAAUAUGAGAGUGAGGAUUAUUGGCUUGCUUCUCUAGAUUAAUGACCAGACUGGACUUGAUCUACGAACUAAACUCGUAUUCAAGCUGUUGCUACUCAAAGACUCGUGUCCUGGGGAACUUCAAUGCAAAGAUAAAAGGUGAUUGUGGGACUCAUGACCUGGGAGGCUUGAAUGCAAGAUAGAGAUGAUGCAAGAUAAAGAUAAUUGUGAGUAGUGUUGUUGGAAUGAAAAUUCAUUUGUAACAAAUCAUCUGUUUUGUGAUGUAAUGUUGUUAAAACAAUUUCAAUUUCCAUUCUCUUGUUGCAAUGACAAUUCCUUUGCAAUAACUAGCACUUUUCUUUGAAAUUCCGUCAGUUUUAACAUCCCAUUCACAUAUAUACAUACAUUCAUGCUUUUCUCGACCCUGGGGUUCUUUCAUAGCCAAUGCUUUAAAAUUUGUUUUAUUACAGAAUCCACUUUCUGGUAGAAGGAUAGAAUUUAAUCAUGAACAAGUGAAACGAGUUUGCUCACUAUUGCAGCAGGUGUUGUAAGAAAGAACCGAAAACAAGUUCUCUCUUUUCUAAUAUGGUAAUCAACUUUAAAAAAGGGAAAUAAGUAAAAAUCUUGAUAGCAAGAUGCUCAUAUUAACAAUGGCAGCCCACUGCAACUCAUAGUAUGAAAAAUAAGUCCCGCAAAACAUUAAUUUCUUUCUCCUAUUAUCAAACAAACAAAACAGCAGUCAUGAUUCAUGAAAGCCUGGUCUUACUGUUUUUGUACAAAAUGUAUCUGUGAUGCCGUCAACACCGAAGGACCAUGUCAUUUUACAUCUCCAGAAUGCAGGUAUCUCAAACUGCCACAUUUUGUUGCUUGACUAAGGAAGUGGCAUCUCAAACUACCUAUCCUUUGUUCGUUCACAACGUUCGAGCAACCUUUUCGUACAAAUCACGAGGCCAGUUCCUAUUCAAAUUGUUUGCGAGAAAAUUGGCAAUCUGCAAAGGUCAGAAGGAUGCAUCCAUCAAAAACCGAGAAAAACACCGUGUUAAGAAGCAUGCUACAUUUUGUUGUUGCACCAUGCCUAGGUUACCUUGAUUUUCACCCAAUCAACCUUGGUCAGAUCCCAAACACAUCAUCCAUCAAUUACUCACUAACUAGACUUGUUACUAGGCUACAGAUUUACUUGAGAAAACCAUCAAAAUCCCAUGGACCAAAUUGAGGAAACCCUCGUAUAGCAAGAAAAGAAGAGACUAGACAUACAUGGAUGGUUCUAUCAACUCAGGGUAUCAGCAUGAAACUGACCACAACCCACAAAUAUUUGCUAAAAGAUCAUUUUCAAAAUUUCACAUUACCAAGAAAAUUAUUUAAAGAGCCACUAAUCCAUGAAUGUGAGAUCAAAUCCAAAGGCUUAACCAACUUAUUGAAACAGGACAUCUAUAAACAAUAAAUAAACUACCUAAAAGGGCAACAUGAAUGGAAUUACCUGGGGCAAUCACAAACUCUGCUAUGUGCCUGUAAAACUAAAGGUGCUAUUGCUUUAUAAAUUUAUUUUAUUUUUAAUUAAGUCUUAAACCUUUUAGAUAAAGCAAGCUCAAUCCAGCAGAAUUAUGGUCGGUUUCACGCAAGGCAUAAAAAAUGUAAACCAACAGUCACCAGGGUUAGUAUGAAACUAACUAUAUCACAUUCAAUCUCAAGGCAUACACAAAUUAGUUUACAUAAAUACACCAAAAAUUUGCAUUUCAAAUAACACACCCUACCAAUGCUACCAAUGCCAAGAAAUUCUAAAGGGCUUUCAGGAGGAAGGGCAUAUAAUUUGGAUAUUUAAAAUAUGAGGAAUAUCAAAAUUCAGUAUUUUUUUUAACAUACCUUAGUCCUCAAGGCCCGAAGUGAUCCAUCAGUAUCCGUCACAUAGUCCAGACAACUGAGAGCAAUCUUCAGAAGGUCAGGCACACAAGCUUGGACAUGGGGAGAUAAAUUCUGAAACACAUCAGGUGUGGUAUCUGGCGCUCGUGGAUCAAGUGGAAGAAAUGGAAGUUUAGCAACCUCCCUCAGGGCAUCUAGAUAAUGGCCCACUCUCGCCAACUUAUGGAUAGACAAUAUUGCCUCAAGCUCUCUUAGUACAGUCUGUUGCUCCAUAACAUGUUCCCUCUCUUGAAGACUGCACAUUGAGUUCAAGUGAUUAUAAGUAUAUAAUAAAGUAGCUCGUGCCCACGAUGGGCGGGCUCCCUUUACUCAUCAAAAAAAAUAAGUUUAUAAUAACGUACUGAGACAAGUUAUGAAAUUUAAACCUUGAUAUCCAUAAAAAAAGAAAGCCGACAUCCAAGUUAGUGCUUAAUCAAAGGAUGAUAUGGUUCAGAAUCCUCUGAAAAAUUCAUAUUUCUAAAAAAUAACCGUGUUAACUAUGUCAUUCUCAAUUCACUUAGAAAUUAUUUCACCACAUGAAAGCAUUGCAAACUCAAACUAGCAGUCAUAAUAUGAUGGAGUAGUCAGGAAGCCAACAAUAACAAUAAAACUAACCAGCAUAAGAACAAUAGUUCUUAUUUUAAAAAAUGAACAUGACAUACACUCAAGAAAUUCAGUCCAAGAAUUUUUUUUCAAAAUUCUCACCAGUGAGAAUGAAUUUGAGCCAAGGGAACAGAUAAACAGAAUCCUGUGGUGUUCAUAAUUCUCUGGAGAACUUCGAAAUGAAUAUGAUAUACACUCAAUAGAUUCAGGACAUUCAUGAAUACAUAAAAGCAUGUGACAAACUGAGUUAUGCAUGUGCUCAAUAGAACACUCGUAUGUAAUCUGCACUUCAACAAGUCGGAGAAUUUUGUCAGUCUACAUAAAAUAUGGGAGUACUAGCAUUUUGCUGGAAUUCACACUUGCUUCACACGAUAGACUUUUAUGGUACACCUCUCAGUUUUUAAGAUCCUCUUUUCACACAACAGUUUAUAUUUUGGGCUGAACCUUUGGAAAGACAUUAGAAAAGGGUGGGAAAAGUUCAUUCUUAGAACUAGUAUCCGUAUUGGAAAUGGUAGACACACAAGUUUUUUGGUGGGAUAAUUGGGUUGGGGAUUCUAAGUUGAAGGAUGUUUUUCCUUCUCUAUUCAGGAUUGCAGCCCACAAAUUUGCUAUAGUGGCAGACCUUUGGGGGAGGCAAGGGGGUGGAGGCGGUUGUUGGGAGGUGGAUUUUAGAAGAUCUUUCCAAGAUUGGAAAUUAGAGGAGGCGACUCGUUUUUUAGAACAUAUUUCUGUGCAAAAAGUUGAAGAAGGGGAGGAUUCUUUGGCUUGGAAGAAUGAUGGAAGGGGAAAGUUUAGUGUCAAAUCAUAUUAUUAGUCGUUACGGGAUGAAAGCAAUAUUUUAUUCCCUGCCAAUGAGAUCUGGGAUUCGUGUGCUCCUCUUAGAAGUUGUUUUUUUGUUUGGAAAGCAGUUUGGGGAAAAAUCUUAACAGUAGACACAUUAAUGAAGAGGGGAUGGUCCAUGGUCAAUAGGUGCAGCAGCCUUUGUAAAGAUAGUGAAUAAUCAGCUAACCACAUUUUGAUUCAUUGCGACAAGACAAGAAUGUUUUGGAUUGUGUUGUUAACUUCUUUCAAACUGGUAUGGGUGUUCCUGGAUUCAGUGAGAAAUCUUCUUCUAAAAUGGAAAGUUAAGGGGCUGAGGAAGAAGAAAAGAGUAGUGUGGAGACUGGCUUCGAUGUGUCUUUUUUGGUAUAUUUGGGGAGAAUGAAAUCGAAGGACUUUUCAGGAGUAAAAGAUGUCUGACCAAAGUCUGACAAAGCUCUUUACCCGUUCACUAUUAGAGUGGUCUCAGUAGGUUCUAGCAUUAGACAAUCCCUCUUUUUUUGAAAUUUUGGGUGUCCUUAAUGGAGACUAGACCUCCUAUUGUAGGUCUUGUUUCUCCUUUCUAGAGCCUGGUUGGGUUUUGUUUGUAUACUGCCUGUAUACAUGGAGUGCACCCCUGUUUUUGGCUGUUUAUUGUUCAAUUUGCCUUUGUCUAUCAGAAAAAAAAAAGGUUUUAAUAUGCAUCAUAAAUUUGGUAGAAGCAAAAUUGGCACCAAAUAAUUUAAUGAAAUGGUGAAGUAUAGAAUUGACCUGACUUCAGGAAAAUAUUUGUAUGUCUCCAGGAUCUCAUUGCCAGACUGAAUUAGCCCAGCAGUUCGGCUCUCACCAUCCAAUCUACCACGAGCCAAAGCACAAACUGCUUCAGAGAGGCACUUAUUAAUUGUAUCCAACGCCAUUGAAAAUGCCCCAAUUCUCUUCUGAAUUUCUAUAGACUGUAAUUUAGUGGUAAAAUUAAGAGGUGAAUUCAUCAGACUAGACACAAAAUAAUGAACAAGAUGACAAAGAAUAGUUGAAGCAAAGAUGAAUGUUUAUAAGAUGCAAACUUGGAAAAUAAAACCAUUUCGUAAAACCCUAAAUCUCUGCCUUGCUCCCGCUCAACCAAAUAAAUAAUGAAGACAAAAAGAAAGAAAUAAUGUUGGGGAUAGGGGAGAAGAAAGAAACAAACCCGCUGAAUGUUUGACUUUCAAGCUAAUAGUGGAAUCCCAAAGAAGAAAUAGCCAAGGUUUUUUGAACGAGAGUCGGAUCAACAAAUGAGGCAUUAUAAAAAGUGAUGAUAAAAUAAGCCAUAAAAUUCAUGUAGCACAAUAUAUCCCUUAAUUAAUAGAUAAUCCAGUAUAAAACAUCUCAAACAUCACAAUCAAGCAAGCUAUGUAGGAUGUGAUUUUACACGGAUCAACAAACUGGGAAUGCCAAAAGUUUAAAAUAGAGUAACCAGCCAAGGAGAAUCUUGAAAUUUUGAAAGAACUUUUUUCCUUUAUGAUUCCCAGGUGUUAUGUAAUUAUAAUUCUAAUUAUAAUACUCAUAAUUGUUUACGAGUAUAAUUAUCUUCAUUACUCUUACCAUUUUUCUAAAUUGGAACAAGACAAUGCAAUCAUUCUACUCAUCCCUAUCGGCAACAUGCCAAAUAGCACAACUUGGGCAUGGUGAAGCUCAUACAAGUUCCCACUGUACUUGUAUAGAACUCUGGAAAAAAGUAAAAAGUUAAAAAAUGGAGGAGCAGAAGAAGUAUUACUUGAUCAUACAGCCCAGCAUCCUGACACUGGCGAGAAGCUUCAAGCAGAAAUUGCUGUCUUGCUUUUACAUCAGUCAGAAAACGAGCCAGUUCACCUUCUUCUCCAGCACCUCUCGGACCAAGUAAAAGAUAAAUCCCACCAUCCCUUAAUAACAGUUCAGUGAGGAGUUGCUUCAGCAUCAGAUUUCUCUGCCAUUGCUGAUCUAUAUUGCCCCUUCCAGUCCAUGACAACUGUCCACCUCCCACUGCAGCAGCAGCUUGUGCAUAAUAUUCUAAUGCUGUUGAAAGAUCACCAGCACGUAAAUACACUGAUCCGUACUGCCGGAUUAUGCUAGAUGCCUCUGCAAAAGCAUCCAUCACCCCCAAUUUCUGUCCUACCCCAGCACCUUCUGAAAGGACCCCAUGGUCUGCUAGAACAAUUGAUAUAUGGGUAGCAUCAACAUUAUACCCUUCAACUCCCAUUUCCUUAGACAAGUAUAGGACUGCUGGUAGCAACUGGAUACUUAGAAGUAAAACAUAUGGAUAUACCAGAGGGUCCUUUCCAUUUUUUGUAUAAUAUGAUGGCUCAAAUUUAUUUAGGUAAUUCUGCAAAUCAUCCAAACUGUAUGGUACCAAGCCCUCAUUCAGGACAACAGAUGAGGAUCCACCUGGACAGUCCCGCACAGCUGACAAUUUGAACCACAAGAAAUCCUCUAUGGUAUUGAAAAGAGUUGGAAGAUCUCUGAGCAAGCGAUCAAUAUGCCUGCGAGAACCAGAUAUGAUAGCAUAAAGCAGCAACCUUUUUUUGUCAUAUGCUGCACGACCCACACGAUCGCCCAUUCUUAACAUUUUAUCGCAUUCCUCUGAAGCAACUGCUGCAAUCUCUGCUGAUACCAUACCUCUUGUAGUAAUCCAUUCUGUGAGCUGUCAAGAAGGGCAAAAAUGACUAAGAUCAAAUAAAGACUCCCAUGUAUAAAGUACAACCAAUAAAUAAUCAAUACCUGAGAAGCAAACUGAUUUGAAACACGAGAUGAUCUGGCAACCUCUAUUGCUUCCUCGUAAUACCCAGUCCUCAAGCAAAAAUAAAUCUGUUGUUUCAAAGUAGAAAUAGGAGUCAGAUGGAAUGGGCACUAUUUCCAAAAACAUAAUUAGAUAUUGAAGGCUACAAGUAGAUUUAAUAUGUGAACAACAUAAUAAAUAAAAGAAAUAAAUUAAGUGAUUUUUCCAUUCUAUAUGAACUUGUGAUUUCAAAUGGCAUUCAUCUUGCUUGCUUACAAUCAUUUGCAUGAAAAGCAACUGAAAGGUAUUCUAAUUCUCUUCCAUACUUCCUCUAGUCAUUAUUACAAAACCCUAAGAAACAAAAGAAAACAAAGAGAGAGAGAGAGUGGACUCGUAAAAAAGUGUACCAGGCCCACACAAAAGCAGAUAAAGAAAAAAGACCAACUUAAUCAACCAUACACAUGCCCUAAAUUAAUAAUCCAGUCCCCCCAUUAAUUCAGGAUAUCCACAAAAAUUUGAAGUUACAGUUUCUAUAAAGAGUAUAGAUUCACCCAGCUCACCCAUUUGACACACAAUGGGUGUAGGAGUGGUGACCUUAUUAGAUACUCCCUACUUUGAUUCAGAUAUGGCUGUUUGAUUUUGAUUGAUUUUUUUUUUCCUACCUGUUUAACUGAUAAUUACCUUAGAAAGGGUAAAAAAUUGCUGGAAAAUAAAUUUCCAAAAAAAUAUUUAAGGAUAAGAAAGAAAAGACGGAUAAAAUAGAAAAGACAGGAGUUCUUAUCAAUUAUAUUUUUGCUUUUGAUUGAUCACUAAUUAAAUUUUUCUUUCUUUUUUUUUCCCCUUCUAUUAUGCCACAUCCAAAUGUUCACCCAUUAUUGAGAUCCUAUAUUCAAGUCGUGGGUGUGAAGAACUAGACAUCUAGACACAUACUUGUACCUGAAACCGGGACUCAAACCCGUACAACAUAACUCAAACAUGGUACAACUUUUAGAGAUUAUGCAAAUUUUCUCAAUUGAAGCUUUCAGAUACCACAUUGAUUUAAACUUGUCAGCUAACAUGGAAUCUGAGGGUACAACAUAAUUUGAGCAAUCAAAGCAAGAGAAUAUAAGAUGAAGUAGCAUGUUAACUAGCUAAAUCACCAAGGACAGGAUUGAUGAAUCAUCAUUUCUUGCAUGUGCACAUCAAAAUCAAAGGCUUCCAGAUACAACAUUGAUUUCAACUUGUGAGCUACCAUGUAAUCUGAGACUAUGACAUAAUUUGAGGAACCACAGAAAAGGAAAAUACGAUGAAUCAGCAUGUUAACUAGCUACAUCACCAAGGACAGGAUUGACCAAUCAUCAUAUCUUGCAUGUGUACAUUAAAAUCAAAGGCUUCCAUGAAGGAAAAUGCUGGGUAAAAGGUACAGAAUCAGGAUAGAAGGGCACAAAACCUGCUGCCAAGUGGUAUCAACAGGAGGUUGUCUACGAGCAUCACCUGCAUCAAAAUCUAGAACCCCAUAGUCUCUCAAACGAAUCUGCCAUGGGAGAAAUAGAAAAAAAAACUAGUAAUUAUGGGUAAAUAGGCAUCCAGACUCCCCAACAUCAAAACCAUUAACAACUGAAUAUAGAAAUAUUAUGACAAACCCGAAGAAAGGCAUGGAUUCUUUGCAGAUUUCCAACAACCCCACCAAGAGCAGCCUACACUUGGAUCAAAAGGAUGAUCAGGGGAAAAAAAAAACCACAUCAGGUAACUAAGAGCUGCUCCACAGAAGCAAAAAUGCUAAGGUUCUUCAAUCAUUAUGAAAAAAAUAAUUCAAAUGAGCAAGGAAGUAUACUAAGAGUUAGCUGAACAAACAGAGAAGCGAUAAUUGAUCAAAACAUUAGUGCUCAUGGAAGUAUAUGACACCAUCAACCAGCACUAAGAUUAUGAUAAACAACUUUAUUACCUGUGCAGGAUGACUUUGUAUCGUAUCUAUCAUAUAUUUCUCAUGUCCCCAUUCGAGGUGGCGCCUAGCACCAAUUACUAAUGACAUUUUUUUUGAAACAUUCCAUUGAGCAGCUGUAUCCUCACCCAUUAAUGUCUGUCAAAUAAUUGAACCAUUAACCACUUGCCAGAAAAUAAUGAAAGAUAACCUGAGCUUAUAAUUGGAAAGCAUACCUGAAUCAGGUGCCAAAUCUUCUGCAUGUUAACAGAUUUGCCACCAGAUGUCUCAAGGCCCAAACUAUCAUAAGCACCCUUGAAAGCUGUAGCAGGCUAAUAAGAAGGAAUACAUUUUAAAAAAGAAGUCAAAAAGUAAAAUAGUAAACCAGAGAAAUAACUUAAUCCAAGUGCACAACCACCAAGAUGAGAUCAUUGCUUGAUAUAUCGUAACAUUCAUAUCCUAACCAGAGGCUUGAUUGUAUAAUUACUAUAGAGAGAAGAAAAGAACUUUAGAAUAACACGUAACGAAGCAUACCUUAAAUGGUAAGCCACGCUCUCUUGCACUGUUGAGAUUCUUCACAACCUCAGCAUAAACAGAAGUUUUUUUCUCGAGGACAGGCUUGUUAGCUAGAGGUACAAGCUCCAUACUAGACAGACCAGAUGAAACCUGAGGACUGGAAAUCAUGGAUGCAAUUUGACCUGGACGAGUAGCCCCAGUGCUUGAAUCACUAAUAUUAGUCUUGGGCAAUGUUGAUAUGCGGCUCAAGCUUUGAAGGAAAUCCCUUUUUUCCUUUUGCCAAUCCUCCUGUCAAAUAUUGAAUUCCACACUGAAGUCAGGGCUAAAAGCAACAAGGGCAAAAAAAAUAUUUCCUUGGACUUCAUUAAACUGUUUGUACUUCUUGUCAACACAACAGAAGAUUGUGUGCAUGAAAGAAAGAAAGAAGGAUUGAAAAACAUCACAUGAACCCAUAAUAGUGCACUGACCUCCAUAACUUUCAUCAUGUAAUCAUUAAAACUUUUAAGGUUAUCUUUCUGUGCUUCCUGGAUAGCGGAAACUAUUGCCAUCUCAUGAACCUGAGGUGCAAAUAUAGCAAAACAAUAUGAUCAAGCUGCAAAUGCCAAUCAUUCUUAAGGCAUGUGUUUGAAAAACCUAAACAUUGUAACUUGUAAGAUAGUUCAAAGACAGUAAUACCAUGCAACCAAAUAUGAAAAUUUUGUACAAAAUACAGCCAUGUCACUCAGACAGCAUAGUUAAACAGACACAUGAUAUAAGAGAUCAUCCAUGAAACUUUAAUUGCCAACAAAAAAAUUACUCAUAAUUGACAGGGGGAAGAAGACAGGAAACACUUUAGUGCUGUCAAGGUCUGAACUCAUGUGCUAAAAAGACAGGUGUGUAGACAUAACUCUUUCUUAGGGAGAGGAAAAAGAGAGAGAUAGAAAGAGAGAAAAGAAGAAACUCAUGCUAUGACUUUGUCAGUGGUGAAUCUGGUCAUGUCUCUCGCCCUUAAUUUUUUCUUCUACCCUUUCAAAAGGAAAGUUAGAAUCCAUAUUCCCCCAUUGUGUUUAUAUGCCUUAUUCAGGGAUUUUGAAGAGAUUCUCCAAGCCUAAAAAUAAUGCAUGUCCUAUCAAAAAAAAAAAUAAUGCAUGCAUGGACAGUGUUUUAAACUCUUAGCUACAAAUUGAGCUUCAGUCACUUUGGAAGCGUCAAUAAUUUUUUUUACAAAACUUUUGAAGAAAUUCUCCAAGCCUAAAAAUAAUGCAUACAUGGACAGGGUUUUAAACUCUUAACUACAAAUUGAACUUCAGCCACUUUGGAAGUGUCGAUAAUUUUUUUAACAUUUAUAUAAGUACUUCAUCUGAAAAGGUAGUAGCCAAGCCACAAAAUCAAGAUUUAGUUUUUCUCUUUUGUAUUAUUACUGCUCGUGAAUAGUAACAGAAAUGUCAGGCAGCAAGAUUGACUACUGACUAAUAUAUGGCCAUUGCUUGUGGCUCAUGACAAAUGUCAUUGGCUCAGGGGAAACAACCAAACUUCAACAUCUCUCCACCCUUCCAAACAAAGAAAAUAAAGACAGAAAAAGAGAUGUCAUAGAAAAUUAUAAUAAACUCUCAAAUUUUUCUUCACUUCAAAACUUGUGUGCUCUAAUAUUAAAAUGAAAAUGAUUUUUUAAUGAGCAUUAAGUUGUUAAGGAUGAUUCUACAAGUGUGGUUCUUUAUUCUAUAGAUUACACGCAUGAAUUUAACCACUGAAAUCACUCCUUUUCUUUGAUGUCAUAAACAAGAAAUAACAUGUUACUAUAAAACUGACAAAGGGUAUCAAUUAUGCCACACCAUUAGAUGCCAAUAAACACAUAUGCCGAUCGAAGCAAUCUAAAAUUAAUAAAAAUAGAAACUAAUGAUAAUAAGAAUCAAGACAUUGAUAUUUGUAAUUUGUAUUGCCACUAAACAAUUAAAGCAGUGAAUUCUACCUGCUGCAGGUAUUCCUCGACACUUGUUGCCUCAGCAGGGAAAACAUCCUCAAAUGUUGUCUUCAAGAAGGAGAAAAAAAUAAAUAAGCAAAAGUAUAUUUGAAAAGAAAUUGGAACAGAGACUAGAAAAAGGUAAAAAUAAAAAAGUAAUAAUAAUAAUAAUAAUCAAGAAAAAGAAAAAUUUAGAGAAAUUUGAUAGCGAAGAGCUACAUGGCUAGCCAAUAAAUUAAAUGAAAAUCAUAAUACAAAUUAGACAAUGAGAAAAAGGACCUAUGGAUAAAAAGAUCACAAGCAUUUAAAUUAAGUUUAUCUAAUAAAAUGUAUGGAUAUUUCCAAAUUAAAUCUUUACAAUAAAAUAUAUGGAGAUUUCCAACUGCAUUUUAUUAUCUUUACCAAUCAGUUUGCUCUUUGAUCGAAAUAUAAUGUCUAAGCAUGACAUAUAUUCCAUGCUUUUUUUCUGAUAGGUCAAAAAUAAAAAAAUGCAGGGACCAUCUGUCAUUCCUUAACAUGGUUAAGGACAUGGUGUUCUCAGCCUUUGAUUAUUAAAGGAAGGAGUAAUCAGGAAUCAAGCUAAUUAGUGGAAAGAGGAUAGCUUCAGUACUCUCUCUCUCUACCACUUCCAUCUUAAGUUCCUACCUCGAGGUAUAGAAGCCUUCUACUCAACUCCUUCCUAAUGAUUAGGAGAUAUUGGAGAGAAGAUAGAUAUCUCAUUUUUCUCUUUAUUUUUUUCUUUUCCUUUUCUUUUUCUUCUUUUAUUUUAUUUUAUUUUUUUUGGAAAUUUGUUAGAAAAGAAAGCAAAAAGGGAGUCAAGCACACAUGUGGUAUAAGGACAGUAAGCCUUAACAAAGUUACAGGAGGCAAAUCAAAGCCAUUGGGAUAGUCCCUAUCUCCAAUAGGGAACUCCACAAAUACAAUGACUACAUGAGAAAUUUUUCAGCUCCAAAGGAAAGAGUUCUCACAAGAAGAAAAUCCUUUUAUUCUGCACUUUUACACGCCAAUCUCCAACAAAACCCAUCUUGACCCAAACAAGGAAAUUAUGGAGAAAAGACUCUAGGCCCCAACUCCAAUAACACCCAUCCAUGAAAACAUUCAAGGAGAAUAUAGAAACUUCUGCUUUUUCCAACCAUCUUAUGCCCUGUUUCCAAAAAAAAAAACAGACUUUAUUCCAGAAACCAUCUUGCCCUACACCAUUUUGUCAGAGCCAGUUGAAUGGGAGAUCCUUGUCAAAAUUAAACAUUCAGUUCGUGAAAACCCCUCCCUCCUACCUAGAAGAGUAGAAUUUCUUUCAUUUCUCUACAUGGUAUAUAAUAUUCUAUCCUGCUUGUAAUUUUCUAUUUUUGAUGAUUCACAUAAAUUGAACUAAUCAAAUUCAAUAUUUUGGUUCUAUCUUGGAGCAUAUAUUUGUUAUAAACACCAAAUUCUAGUUGUGAGAACUAAUAAGGGCUAUGAAUUGACACACUUGAGCAUACACAAAAGGAAAGAGAAGAGCAAUAGCUUGAGGGUUUGUUUAGAAACUGUUCUUAAAAAUAUUGCCAAACAUACCCUGAAAUAUUUUUUUCCAUGUGGGCAAUAGUUAUUAGUCCAAAACAUAACAUCAGGUAGAAAAAAUAUGUAAAACUCCAUAGAGCAUGGAUAUACAUUUUAUAAGAACUUUUGCAUACAAAGCAACUCGUGAACCAUGUGAAACGAUUAAGAAUUCUGCAGUCAAUCAAGCAAGAUCGGGGAUCAAAAUCAAUGCACAAGGAGCAUUCACCUUCAACUCAAAAGACUUGAGAUCCCGAGCAAGCUGUUCUGCAUUUAGUCCCUCACGUGCCAAUAACCUGUAAGCGAAACAAACAAGAACAUUUAUGGGAGAAAAACAAAACUAGGAAAAAUGAAGAACGUGAACUAUUAAAAGUGAUGAUACACUUUCAGACUGAAUGCUUCAACUAUUCCAUUCAGGGUGAUAUGCAUCAUGCCACUAUAAUAGUUCUUCUAUUCCAAGCAAUCAUCCAUUAUUUACUCAUUAAUUAAAAUAUAUUGCCACAUCACACAGAGGGGGUGUUUCACAGUAGAUCAAUUGAAGGAAGUAUCAUUUUCCAAAUAUCAAAUGGAAUAGCUUCAGAAAAAACCUAAACUGCAGUAAUAAUAUUGCUCUGAUUUUGCCCUAGAAUGCUAGAGAGAGAGCUAAGGAGAGAGAGAGGGGAUGUACCUUGUGGCUGCAACGGAUUGUGAUGGAGCUUCAGCUCUUAGGGUUUUUGACUUUAGCUUCUUAGAUAACGCUUCUAAUUGGUCUAAGUUCCUCUGAAAUAGACGCAAAUAGUGAACUCAGUUUCAGGAGAUUUAGGUAUUCAGAUGCUUCGUACAGUGCCAGACAGGUUGAGGAAAAUAAAAGGGAGUAACAUUUUUAAUCUUAGGUGUGGACCAGCAUUUUUCACUUGCAUUCCCAUGUCUACAUUAGGAUUUCCAAUUAGUAGGGGAAACAAACCCACAUGAGACGAACCUAAUGCAACUAUUUCAAUUCGUUCCGACAGACUUUCAUUAUUUGGAAAUGAAAAAUGAAGAUAAAAUAACAAUUUUCCUCCAAACGUUUUUCCAUUGUUUUUGUCCUCGUGAAAAAUGAAAACCGGAUUCAACCAAGCCAAGUAGUUGUACUACUUCCAGCUUAAAUUUUUCCCAUUCCAAGAUUCCUAUUCUGUGAGAAACGUACGAUGAAAGUUCGAAUUCCUCUUCUCUCGCUACGUUUUCUCAUCAAUCAGACGAAUAUUGAGAUAAAUCCAAAAUAAAACAUACCAACUUCUGGUUAUCCCUUUGAAUAUAGUUUUGACUAAUUUAGUUUCCUGCAUUUUCAGGGCAUCCGAAACUAGAAUUAUAAAAAGAAGGCAACGAAAGAAGAACCUGGAGAGGAGGGAACUGAGCCGAAGGAGCGGCUUGUUCGAGAAGCUUCGUGGAGGAGUGGAGGAGAUCGGUCCAGGAACUCAUGUCGGAGUCGGUGGCCAUGGUUGCUGACUUCGGUGUGUGAGAGAGAGGGGGAAGGGUUUUAUUAAGCCCUAAUUUUGAAAGGAGAGAGAGAACGGUAAAGUGGUGUUCUUAACGCGGUAGUCCCGUGGGGAGGGGUGUACUGUAUUUAUAUGCUCCUUCUCCACUGUCGAAUCUUGGCCGUUGAUUUCAGUGGUAAAAGUUCUAUCGGGCGGUCCUUUUGAGUUUUCAGUGAUUCCGUUAAUGUAUGAUUUAAGUAUCCACCGUUGGAUUGCCCUUAUUGGUUGACCUGCGGUAAAAAUUUGUUUUCUAUUCCACGAAAUUAAUUUAGAAGGAAUCCAGGGAGGGGGAAUUACUCGGAGACCCUUCUUAUAAAUAAUUUUCUAUUCUUUAAUUUUUUUUAAAUAUGUUUAACUAAUUUUGGAUAAAAAUUAAUUUUAAAAAUAUAUAUUUAGGAAAUAUAUUAUUUUUAAAAACUUAAAAAAAUAAAUAAUAUUUUAAAAUAAUUGAAAUUUGUAUUUAAGAACGGUUUCAAAGGUUGUUUUUUAGUAACUAUUUUAAAAAAUGCUUUCAAAAAAAUCUUCAAAGUUUUGUUGAAUAACAUUUUUUUAAAAACAAAUCAUUUUAAAAAAUAAUUCUUAAUUAUUGUUAGAAAUAAAUUGUGAAAAUGCAACUGCCAAUUGUAUUAUAUUUAAAUUAUUUAAAAAAACACAAGUAUAGUAUAUGUUAUUAAAAAUUUAUUAUUUAGUAAAGCCUGAUUUAAAUAAAUAAAUAGAGAGAUAGAAUGCCCUCCAUAUUGCCAUAAAAUCAAUUUCGAUUGAUAUUUAUGUUCUAAUCAUUGAGCGAAAGGGCGAGCCAGUGUUGAGGAUGCGGAGGGUAAAUGGUAUUUUGCGGCAGAGCCAGAAAGCCCUGCAAGAUCUGGAUUUGCUCAAGGUACUCCAAUCUGAGAUCAGACACGAACAAUCCCAUGAUCGAUUUCAGGUACCCUUCAACACAAUCUCUAAUCCAGCCUCAUUAACUCGCUCCGUUGCGUUUCUAUAUUUCGUCACCAAAACGAGAAAGAAGGCCGGAAUAAUCGUCCUAUUUCCAUGAAUGCAGAAUUAUCAAGGCGGUAAUCCGGGAGAUUUCGUGGUGGACUGGGACUCACCAGCUUCUCAAGAUGUGGUUUUGCGGAGGAAGUGCGAGUCGGGUGAAGAGGUCGCUGUCUCAGCCCUUCUGAGUCCCAUAACCUUUAGAAACGAGGAGGGUUCAUUUCCAAGGGACCUUCUGAUGAAGGUGUGUGUAAAGAAACCUGGUUUGAGUCCUGUUUUGCAGUUUGAUUGUGGAGUUUUUAGCAAAGACCAUGAAAGGUUGGAGUUCAACAUCCACAGUGCAUAUUAUAUUCCCUCACCGGCUUGUCUGAAUCCCUCAGCCUACAGAGGGCCCUCAUUCAGGUGCAAUUCUCUGUCAAUUGGCUUGAUUAAUGAGCAUUGUUUGCGAGAUUUUUACGUAUUUAGAGAGAAAAAAAAAAAAACCCUUCAAGUAUAUUAUCGUCUUUACUUGGCAAAGAAUGUGAUUUUAUGCCUUAUUGUCUAUAUUUUGAUGAUUUUGAAAUUGAAUAUCUGGGUCUGCGAAUCUUAUCUACAUUUGUAUGCGCAAGCCAUCUUCUUUAGAUUCUUUCGUUUGUUCUUGGAGUUAUUGCUCAAUUCAAGAACAUGAUUUCAAAUCAUGCAGCAUAGGUGGGCAAACAUAAAACACAAAGCCCAUGUCCCAUGACUAAUCGUUACUAGAAGCAAAACAAAUUGUGUCAUGAUCCUGCUAUAUAUAAGUGAUGAUGAUUUUGAAAUCGAAUAUCUAGGUCUAUGAUUCUUAUCUACUUUGUAUGCAUAAGCUAUCUUCGUUAGAUUCUUUCUUUUGUUCAUGGAAUUAUUGCUCAAUUCAAGAACGUGGUUUCAAACCAUGCAGCAUAGGUGAGCAAACAUAAAACACAACCUAUGUCCCGUGAUUAAUCACUACUAGAAGCAAAACAAAUUGUGUCAUGUUCCUGAUAUACAUAUAUAAAGUGAUGGUAAAUCGUCACUUUUGGGGGGCGUUAGCACUCAUAGCCAAUGAGAUGUGUAGCAUUGGUUUUUUUUUUUUUUUUUAAUCAGCAACGAAGAAUAUAUAAAGACACCAAAUAAAAGGAGGGGGAGCACCUAGGUGCAUGGGAGGUAUACAAAGGGAGCCAACAAAACAGAAACACCACAAAAGAGCAAAGAAAACAUCCUCCCACUAACUAACACACAGUUGGCCAAUAAGAACUAACAAGGAACCAGGACCCUUUUGAAUAUAUAGGUGAGUCUAGUGGAAAAGGGUACAAAUAAGAGAGUUCUUUAAAGCUUGAUCCCAGCGUUAAAUUCUAUCAAAGUAUUUUUAAUUCCUCUCUUGCCAAGAAUCCAAAACAAGCAAAGGGGGUUGUCCUUCAAAUAUUUUUUCUAUUUUUGCUAACAAAACUCCCAUUCCACCCUUCAGCUAAUCUUUCACCAAGAAUGGGAAGACCCAAGAACAACCAAAGAGAGAAGAUAACAAAUGCCAAAGACCCCUUACCUUUGCACAAUGGAUUAGCAAGUGAUUAGCCGAUUUUUCUAAAUUCAUGCAUAAACAACAAUUGUUUGCUAACACCCAUCCUCUUCUCUUAAGAUGACCUAAGGUCAAGAACUUUCUCAAACCGCCUCUGAAGCAAAAAGCCCACCUUUAAAGGCUCUCAAGAGCCCCACACUAGCUUAAAGGGGAAAGAAAUACCUUUAGCCGACUCUAAGAAAGAGUAGAAAGAUUUCACUGAGAACUUCCCACACAUGCUAAUCUUCCAAAUCAGUUUGUCGUCAUUCUCACUACACUUCCCAAGCACAUGUAGCAUCCUAAGUAACUCCUCAAUGGUAUGUAGCUCUCAAUCUUGAAACUGCCUUAUGAAUCCUGGGUUCCACACAACCUGUUUGCUAACGACCUCCCUAGCACUCACCACCCAAGCCUCUUUAUUAGAAGAAAAAGAGAAGAGAGACAAAAAAGAAUCCUUUAAAGGAGCCUCCCCACACCAAACAUCAAGCCGAAAUUUUGUUUUUCCAUUGCUAACCAUAAAACUUGUUUUGGCCUUAAAGGCUUCCCAACCUCCUCUUAUUGCCUUCCACAAGCCAACACUAUAACUCUCUCUCCUAGCAAGAGAGAACCAACCUCCAAGUUCCUCCCCAAACUUUCCCACUACAAAUCGUCUCCAAGGGGACUCCCUUUCCAAAGCAAAUCUCCAACACCAUUUUCUAAGCAAGACUAUAUUAAGAGAGGACAAGACCCUAAUACCAAACCUUCCUAGCUUCUUGUAUUUUCAAACAAAAGACCAUUUGACUAAGUGAGGUCUUCUCUCAAGAAGUCCCUUUGAAUUUUUUCUAACGUUAAAGUCACCAUUGUAGGAAUUAUUGGAAGAGACAUAAAAUAGAUGGACAUAUUGCAUAGAGUACUUCUAAGCAAAGUAACUUUACUACCCUUUGAAAAGCACUGUCUUUUCCAAAGGGCUAACCUUUUAUGAAACCUCUCCUCAACCACAUCCUACAUAGAAGGGGACUUAAACGGAGCACCCAAAGGCAAGCCUAAAUAAGUAGAAGGGAGCUUCCCCACUUUGCAACCCAAUAAAGAGGCAAACUCCUCAACAUUAAGGACUUCCCCCACCAAAAUCAACUUGCUUUUAUAUAAAUUAAUUUUCAGCCCUGAAAAAGUUUCAAACCAAAACAGAACCCAACUCAAGUAAAUCAAUUGGUCCGAACAAGGCUCACAAAAGAGUUGGGUAUCAUCCGCGAAUAGGAGGUGAGAAAUCUCCACUUCUUUUUUCCUUUUACCUCCUACCUUGAAACCUAAAAUGAAAUGCCCCUCACCUACCUUUCUUAAUAGAAUACUAAGAGCCUCCAUCACUAACACAAAUAGAUAUGGGGAUGGAGGAUCCCCUUGCCUUAGACCCCUUGAGCUCUGAAAGAAACCAAUUGACGAACCAUUAACUAAGAUCGAAAACCUAGUUGUUGAUAUACAAAAUUGAAUCCAAUCAACCCAUCUUCGAUCAAAACCCAUGCCAAUUUUCUGCAACACUUCCAAAAGGGCAGGUCCAAUUAACAUGGUCAUAGGUUUUCUCAAUGUCCAACUUACAAAUCACUCCUCUUUGACUCCUUAAUCUUGAAUCUAUAACCUUGUUUGCAAUUAGGGUUGCAUCUAGGAUUUACCUACUUUGCACAGAAGCAUUUUGAGAAUUGAACACCACUCUUGCUAUAACUUUCUUUAGCCUGUUUGCCAAAACUUUAGCUAGAAGUUUAUACAAACUUUGCAUUAAAUUAAUUGGUCUAAAGUCUUUAAGUCAUCGACUCUCCUCUUUUUUCAGAAUUAAGUCUAAGAACAUGGCAUUUAGGCUCCUUUCAAAAGAUCCUCAGGUGUGGAAUUCCCUAAACAGACCCAACACUUCAUUCUUAAGAAAGUCCUAACAGGUGCUGCCAUAAAGCUAAAGGAAAACCAUCUUGACCGGGGCCUUUGUCUCCUCCAAUUCUAGCAACGCUGCAUAAACCUCCUCAGUGAAAAGCCUCUUCCAACCCUCCAGAAGCCUCAAUGCUUAGCCUUGAAAAAGGCAACCCAUUAAUACUUGGUCUCCACAGGCCACCUGAAUCCGCCAACAGAAGCUGGCAAUUGUUAACAAUUUUUUCUGAAAUUUGAGGCUCCUCCGUAACCCACUCUCCAUUCACCUUAAUUCUUCCUAUGAGAUUUCUUUUGCAAUGAGCAUUAGCCAUCUUAUGAAAAAACUUUGUAUUUUUGUCACAUUCUUUCAACUGCAAUUCCCUAGAUUUUUGCCUCUAGGAGGUUUCUUGUUUGUUUAAGUCACUAUGAGGUUCUAAGUGUAAGCAUUCAUUACCACAGCAAACAAGUUUACCUUGUAUUUGCAAAUAACACCUACUCACCUGUAGAGCUUUUUAUGUUUUAAAUUGUUGUACUAAAUUUACCUUCUAUAGCAAUUUAUGUUAGAUGGAACAUUGUAUCCUACAUAAUUAAUAUUUUGGCACUCAAACAAAAUAUCAGCAGAGGCUACAUUAGAUUUGGUGUCUAAAAUGUUGGAUAUCAUCUGGGAGCCUUCAUUU